CAAAAUCUGCUUUAGUUUUCAGCGACCUCCGUGCUUCUUGGACAAUGCAGGCUGGACGUGGCCCCGGUGGCGGACGUGGACGCCGCGGAGGAUGCAGAGGGGGCAGAUCGGGGAACCAAGAUGCAGGAAAGCACUCCAAUGCGACCAAUAAGCAUGGCCAGGAGUAUGAUCUAGAGGAUACAAACGAUGAUAUGAUAACAGAUGACCUGAACAGGAAGAGAGGGGACCGAUCAGACCCUGACCUCCGUGCUUACCCUCGGGGGCCAGAGCAGGCUCAAGUUCAUCGGGGGAAUGAGCUGGCCAUCGUUCCAAGUGGUACCAACGUGGUUAGCCCAAUACCAGUCAGGGACAGAAGCGCACCAGGAUGGAAGAUGGAGAUAGAGAUGCUCAAAACAGUCUAGUGAAGAAUUUGGCGGGCUCCUUCGAGGAGCGCCGCCCGUCCCAAUGAGUGCCCUAUGCUGGAACUGCCGUGGUGUGGGCAACGUCGCGACAGUCCAAGAACUUCGCGAAUUCGCGAGGAAGUUUGCCCCUGCCCUCCUUUGUAUUGUUGAAACACAGAUAGAAGGAUCGAGUGUGGAAUCUUUAGCAAGUACUUUGGGUUAUGACAAAUCUUAUGCAGUUAGUAGUCAAGGUAGAAGUGGUGGAUUAGGGCUGUUUCGGAAUAAUGAAAUAAAGAUUGAGGUUUUGGGUUAUUCUUGCUACCAUCUUGAUGUGUCUGUGGAGGAACCGGGAUGUGAUGUAUGGAGAUUGACAUGUGUCUAUGGUGAGACCCAAACCCACAUGCGGCAUCAAACAUGGACAGUCUAAAAAAUUAUAAGUACUUUGAGCUCGCUGCCAUGGUUAUGCAUGGGAGAUUUCAACAAGGUUUUACGUACGGACGAACACGUUGGGGUUGGACAACGCAGCAAUGCACAAAUCCAAGCCUUUCAUGAGGCUACUGUCGUUUGCAUGCUGAUGGAUUGGAUAUAAAGGGAGAUUUUGUACUUUUGAGAAGAAGGUGUCUGGAGGUACAUUUACCAGAUGGAGGCUAGAUAGAGCAUUGGUCAACCCGCAAUGGAUGACACGGUUUCCUUUGGCGAGCCUGGAACAUCACACAUCAGCAACUUCCGAUCAUGGGCCAAUCUUCUUAGAUUUUGGGCGCUCUGAUGAUUCCAAACCAACAAGAACGUUCCGGUAUGAAGCCAUGUGGGAGAAACAUGAAGUGUUUGGAGGAGUUGUGAGUUCAGAAUGGGAAGGAGGGGGGCCGAUCGAGACUGUUCAACAACUUCAAGAGAAACUCGCAAGGGCGGCGAGAGGGAUAACUAUGUGGAGUAGGAAGUCCUUUGGGAGCGUGAGGAAAGAAAUAAAGGAGCUGAAACAAAAACUGGAGGAGCUACGAAGCGAUCCUCUUCGGUUGGCACCGACACACAAUGAGCUCAAGAUUAAUGAGAGGUUAGUUGAGCUUUAUCAUCGGGAGGAGAUUAUGUGGAGACAGCGGGCACGCAUAGAGUGGCUAUCUUUGGGGGACCGGAAUACAAAUUUUUUUCAUCUUCGUGCUAGCUUAAGGAGAAAGAAGAACAUGAUGCGGGCCUUGGAGAAUGCAUUGGGAGUGCUAGUAAAUGACCCCGCCGAGUUAAGGACGAUGGUUAAUGACUUGUACCAGAAUCUUUAUACGUCUGAAGGGGUGCACGGAGUUGAGGAGGUUCUACAGCAUGUCCCACGCAAGGUUACAGCAGCGAUGAACAAUGACCUAUGUGCUCCUUAUACAAGGGAAGAGGUCAAAUCAGCACUCUUCCAAAUGUUUCCAACAAAGGCUCCCGGACUUGACGGUUUCCUGCAUAGUUUUAUCAAAAACACUGGGAUGUGUAGGGAUAUGAAGUUACAUUAAUGAGACUAUCCUAGUGCUCCUGCAUAGUUUUCCUGCAUUGAGGAUUGUGAGAGGAGAGGAGAGCCCCGAAUGCAUUAAUGAGACUAUUCUAGUGCUCAUUCCAAAGGUGAACAACCCAACCCUUCUCUCUCAAUUUAGACCAAUAAGUUUAUGCAACGUCCUCUAUAAAAUAGCAUAAAAGGUAUUGGCUAACAGAUUGAAGCAAGUACUCCCAGAAAUUAUAUCUCAUGAGCAGUCAGCUUUUGUGCCAGCAAGGACGAAAACAGACAACAUAAUUGGUGCUUAUGAGUGUUUGCAUUUUAUGAAGCUAAAAAGGUCAAAGAAUAACAAUUUUUGUGCCCUCAAAUUUGAUAUGAUGAAAGCUUACGACAGGUUGGAGUGGGACUACCUGAGAGCCAUCAUGGGCAAAUUGGGCUUUGCACAGAGUUGGAUUGAUACAACCAUGUCAAUGUCUCCAAUUUAUCUUUUUGAGUUUUAUUUAAUGGGGAGAAGCUUGAUAGGUUCAAACCAUCCAGAGGACUUCGGCAGGGAGAUCCAAUCUCCCCUUACCUUUUCUUGAUUGCAGCAGAGGGCCUUUCGUGCCUCCUGGAACCCACGGCACCAGUCGUUAACCAUCUCCUGUUCGCGGAUGACAGCCUGUUGCUAUUCAAGGCUAGUGUUGAGGGUGUAGAGAAGGUAUCAAACCUACUGGAUACUUAUUGUGGGGCAUCUGGCCAGAAAGUGAAUAAUGCAAAGUCAUCCAUAUUUUUUAGCAAAGGAUGCCCUCAAACUUUGAGAGAUGGGGUGAAGAACAAGCUUCAGGUGCAUAAUGAAUCACUUAGUGAUCGUUAUGUGGGCAUGCCCACAGAAGUGGGACACUCAAAGAAUGGCACGUUCAAGUAUGUGAGAGACAGAGUUUGGGAAAAAGUUAAAGGCUGGAUGGAAAAUUACUAUCUGUAGCAGGCAAAGAGGUUCUUAUAAAAUCAGUGGCUCAAGCAAUACCAGUGUUCUCUAUGUCAUGCUUCAGGCUCCCAAGAGGACUGUGUGAGAGUGUCACAUCCAUCAUUCGACAGUUUUGGUGGGGGAGCAAGAGAGGACAGAGAAAACCGGCAUGGGUGGCUUAGGAUACGAUGACAAUGCCAAAAUACAUGGGAGGUAUGGGGUUUCGAGACCUAGAGUUGUUUAACUUGAGCCUAUUAGCACAAGGGAUCAUUCGCCGGAUUGGGGUCGGAGAAGAAACAGAUAUAUGGGCUGAGAACUAGAUCCCUAGAGAGAGUUUUAAGAGACCAAUCACGUCUCUGGUGCCGGAUCCACCACGCCGUGUUGCAGAGCUCAUAGAGAACACCACAGCUUCGUGGAGAACGCAGCUUGUUCGGUCAGUGUUUACACCUUUUGAUGCGGAGGCAAUCCUACAUAUACCAUUAUGCACACGACGAGUGUCAGAUUUUUGGGCAUGGAGUGAGGAGUCUAGGGGCAAUUUUUCUGUCAGCUCAUGUUAUCGUAUGCUUGUGCGGACUAAACUUAACAGGGAAGCUUGGCUUGAGGGCCGCGAGGGCACUUCAGAUGUACGAGCAGAGGGGAGCGAGUGGAAAACAUUAUGGAAAAUGUAGGUCCCACGUAAGCUUAAGGUAUUUCUUUGGAGAUUGGCGAAAAGCUCGAUCCCCUCGGGAGAAGUUCUACAUCGCAGAAAUAUGGCCACAUCAGCAGCUUGUACUCUAUGUGGCGCUCAUGAUUCAUGGAAACACGCGCUGCUGGAAUGCGCUAUGUCCCGGAGUACAUGUGCACUGUCAUCGGAACAGAUAGUAGACCAAAUCAGCUUGAAUCAGCAUGAAGGAGCCAAAGAUUUGAUUUUUGCAAUGGGGAAAGCUCUAUCUUCAGAAGAUUUUGUGAGGAUGGUGACAACACUUUGGGCUAUUUGGGGAGCAAGAUGAAAGGUGAUUUAUGAGGAUAUUUUCAAAAGCCCGUUUGCUAUUAAUGCUUUUGUGAAUACAUAUCUAGCGGAGAUCAAAGCAUUAUCACAUGCCAAAGAGCACCACACGAGUGCGGUCCAAAGGAGAACGGAAUGGAUAGCACCUCCUGAGCAUUACGUCAAAAUCAAUGUUGAUGCUGGAUUGACAAGAGGAGGAAAUCAUCGCUCUGUGGGUACAAUAUGCAGGAAUUUUGAAGGUAUUUUUUUGGGCGCUUCAGUUUAUGUGUUUCCGAACCACCGUGACCCAGCGACUUUGGAGGCUUUGGCAAUCAGGGAAGGACUUGCAUUAGUCCAAGAUAUGAAUCUUCAUCAUUUACAUUUAGCAUCAGAUUGCAAAGGUGUGGUCACAGAAGUCCAAACAGAAAUCGGAUCGAGCUAUGGAGCUAUUGUUCAAGAGAUCAAGAUGAUAGCUACUUCUUUUUCUUCUUGUAAUAUAGUUCAUGAGUCUAGGAGCUCCAAUGUGGAUGCUCACAAUCUAGCGAAGCAUGCAUUAAAAGUAGGGCCUGCCGCCAUGUUUGGUUAGGCUAGACCGAGGGCAUUUCUUUUGUCCCUGUAAACAUUGUGAUGGUUUGAAUAAAAAGCUUCGCGAGAUUGCCUCAAAAAAAUAUUGGAGGAGUUGAUCUUACGGCUAGCAUCGAACAGGGAAUAUAUGAACUAAUUGUUGCCGCCGAGACCAAUGCCACCAAAAGAUAGCUAUCUUGGCGUACACAGAUGGCCGGCAAGCUGCCACUACAUGAGCUUCCAAGGCUCCCUGUUACACACUUGCAGAACUCCAAAUCGAUGUUGUUUACCCUGUGGAUGAGAUGGUGAAGAUCUGUUGGAAAUAUGAGCAAUUUACUGAAUGAUUUUAUUAACAGAAAUUAGAUAAAGCACGACUAGUAUAGCAAUGAUAAAACAAGUAAUGCGAUUUGACAAAGAGAAGGUAAACAACAUCUUUAUAUAUGAACUGUAACUGAACACAUUUACAACAUACAGUAUAGCAAGUUGCAUAUAUGAAACAGAGUCUAACAUAUCUAGGGCAAACACUAGAACAAGGAACUGUAACAGGGCCUCUAAUAGAAAGAAGAAGAACGCGUACGGGACAGCGGCAGCAGAAGCGUAGACUUGGGGGUUGGUGUCCUCUCCAGCCAUGUCAUCGAGGAGGUUGUCGACGUCGGGAAAGAAUUCGUCCUCGGGGAAGUAGUCAUCGGAGUCCGGGGCGUCCGUGACCGUCGUCGGGGAAGUAAUCGUCAGAGUCUGGGCGUCCGUGACGAAGAAGUCAGUAGUCGCGCGAAGCGCUCCCCAAAAAUCUUAUCACCCUUCUCCCGUACAUGACUCAAAGAGGUGCGGUUUUGCAGGCCUACUGUCCUGACCUGCGGUGCACGCCGCAAGCCGGGAUGGGCAAGAACGUAGCAGCAGCGCAGUGCUCAGGAACUUGCGGCGAGAGGAAGAAAAGGUUCUGGUCCGUCUCUCUGAGAGGAGCCACCUCCCUUUUAUAGGCGCAAGAGAAGGUGGCGAGAGGCUGCGCCGGGAGCUAAAGAGACCCGUGGCGUGGCGAGGCGGGCAACGGAGGUGGAGUGCGCGUGGAUGUCCCUCUUGUUCUCCUCCCCACACAAGUGGAGAAAGAGCCUCCCUUAUAAAGAGGUCCAACUCCCUCUAAACUAGCAAUGUGGGACUAAACUUUUGUUCCAUGUCUUGCCUUGCACGAAUGGGCUGCAUGGGCCUUUAGGAUUUAUUAGGAAUUUCUGAAACUGCUAUUGGGCUAGGCCCAAAAUAGACAAAAUUCUAGCAAUCCCCCACCAGAUCCCAGAGGCACACAAAAUUUUCCUUUGCUUCCAAAACACUGUUUUAUAUACUGGUACUACAGUGGAGACUGUUAAGUUGAACUUCCACCGAGAACUCUAUGCUACACUAGUAAGCGACUUGGACAGUGGACUGGGCCUUGAACUGCAAGUUUUCUACGAAUCUAGCUUCACAUAAAGCCUUGUCCGAUACGUGGCUACCGUGGGUCUUCCCCGCGGGUGGAGCUUAUGCAUCAUACUCUGAGAUCUUUUAUGAGUUUACUAGAGAUAACCCUACUCUCAUAGACUAUGACGUUUAACAAUCAGACUCAUAUAGGUGCGUUCUUCAAAAGAUGUUCUGGAGGACGACAUCUAUGCAUCAAUGAGCCACUUAGAACACAUUAAGAUACACAUCAACCUGUCAUGCAGAUUAGAGAGUAUUGCAUCUUCAUGGAGUGGCAUUAAUAGUAAGGAUAUUCUCCUCUCAGUUGACCAACAGCUUGUCUUUCACAUCUAAUUCAUGGGAUCUCCGAUCACAUAGACGAGGUUACCACUGUGAACAACUCAUAUUAUGGGUCUCAUACUCAUCUCCCUCGAUGCAUUACCUAUCACAUUACGUGAUAGACCCUUAGUGAAAGGAUCUGCCCGAUUUUUAGAAGUUUGGAUAUAAUCCAAUGCAAUAACUCCAGAGUUUCUCAUUUUCCUAACAGGCUUUAACCUUCUCAACGUGUCUUGAACUUCAUGUUAUCCUUUCAGCUGCUCACUUUCGUGAUUACAGUUUGAUUGUCGCAGUUCAUAAGGAUACCCGAUACAGGUUUCUCAACAACUGGCAAGUCAUUCAAGAGCCGACGAAGCCAAUCUGCUUCGACUGUAGCUGUAUCUGGUGUUGUGAGUUCUGCUUCCAUUGUUGACCUCGUUAAGAUGGUCUGCUUGCAAGACUUCCAAGAAACAGCGCCACCUCCAUGAGUGAAUACAUAACCGCUGGUGGCCUUUAUCUGAUCAGCAUCUGAGAUCCAGUUUGAGUCACUAUACCCUUCAAGCACCUUUGGGUGCCCGGUGUAGUGAAUUCCAUAAUUUGCAGUGCCUUUCAAAUAACUCAAAACUCUCGCUAUAGCUUUCCAAUGCGCAUCUCCUGGUUUUGAGACAAACUGACUCACUUUGCUAAUAGCAAAAGAGAUGUCAGGUCUUGUAGCACUGGCUAAGUACAUAAGCGAGCAAAUAAUCUGAGAAUCUUUGAAUUGAUCUCUAGCAAUUCUUCGAUUCUUUCGAAGUAACACACUCGCAUCAUAUGGUGUUGGAGAGGGCUUGCAGUCACUAUAGCCAAAGCAACUCAAGAUCUUUUCCACAUAGUGAGAUUGAAGCAAUGUAAUCCCACCAUCAUCAUCUCUCAACAACUUGAUAUUCAGAAUGACAUCAGCCACUCCUAAAUCCUUCAUAUCAAAACAACGAGAUAGGAAAUCCUUGACCUCCUUAAUAACAUUCAAUUUUUUUUCCAAAAAUUAGUAUUUCGUCAACAUAAAUGUAAAGGAUAACUCCCUCGCCCCCAUCAUGGCGAUAGUACAAACAUUUGUCAGCUUCGUUUACAACAAAGCCUGUAGCUGUUGAAGUUCUUUCAAACUUCUCCAUACAAAGACUUCAGCAACUUGCACACUUUUCCUUGCUGAACAUUACAAGGAAAACCCUUACAAGUAGCGCUAGUUUUUGAGCUACCAGUAGCGCGGGCACCAGCGCUACUGCUACGGCUAUACAACUAUUUUGUAGCAAUAGUGCUUGUUUAAACCACCGCUACUACUAUCUGUAUCUAGUAGUAGCACGCCUCUGUCCAUCGCUACUGCUAAUACUAGUAGCGUGGGCUUCAAAAAAACGCUACUGGUGAGCAGCGCUGCUACUACUCCAAUACCCCACGCUACUUGUUGGGGAUAUUACUACUGGGCGUAAACCGGACUAUCUGGGCUGGGUUAACUUCGUCAGUAGUUAAGUAUGUUAAAGCCCAAGAAGGCAGAUGAGGGCUCAAGGCCCAUGGCCGGUUCAAGGCCUGUAGCUGUAAACCGGCAUUAGUAGUCAGCUUGUAUUGUAAGUUAGGAAUAAGUAGAGACCAAACCGGACACAUCUAUGAGCCGGUAUUGGGACUCUGUAAGCCGACGGGAGUCACCCGUGUAUAUAAGGGGAUGACCCGGCGGCGGUUCAAUGACAACAGACAACAACUCGAGACAUAGGCGAAGCUUGUUUGCUCCCUAGUCAUCGAAACCCCAUCAAUUCCAUCACAACUAGACGUAGUCUUUUACCUUCAUCGAAGGGGCCGAACUAGUAUAAACUCUCUUGCGUCUCUGUGUCUGCUUUAAAUCCUUCAAGCUAACCCGUCGCGAUGGCUCCACGACUAAGUCCUUUCUCUAGGACAUCUGCCGUGACAAAGCCACGACAGUUGGCGCCCACCAUGGGGCUAUCGCACGAUGGUUUCCGGUUCUUGGAGGGCCGCUUUGAAGGACUCGAGGGCUACGUUGUAGGCCGGAUGACUAAGAGUCGUCGCGACAAGUUCUACAUCGACGAUGCAGGCUGGGGCCCCGAGGCCGGCUCAAUUGAGUACGGGUACUGGGUCCCCUUUGGAGGCAUUCACAUUUUCAUUCGCAAGAUCGGUGAACCGGGCCCUGAGCCGGACAUCUGCACCGACCUCAUCGAGACGGCUCAGCGUGCGCAAUCCGCCCGGGUUAAACCGGCCAUGAAACGUGCCUUCGUGCGUAUCCGAUCGGAAUCUUGCGGCGAUACCGUCGUUUGUUCCGAUGACGAGUCAUCGACCGGAGAAACCGAAUCUCUUUAUCAGCUACAAGACGACUGGAUUGGGGGCUGUUCCGAUGGCAACAGUAUUCCGGACCCCUCUGAUCUGCCCAACCGGGUUGGAAUAUUCAUGACUGGCACACAAGCAGCGCUUCAUUCUUCGACCGCUGCCGUAACAACCUCCGGUUCAGCAGCAGCGAUGGCUGCUAGGGCAGGAGGCCCUGUGCGCCCGCCGGCUCAAGUUCUAUUAGAGUUGUUUGAUGCAUUGGCUGUGCUUAUGGCGGAGGCUAAUCCGGCGGAUCAGGGCGUUCACAACGCCGAGAUUGCAAAAGUGAAGGAACAGAUCAUCCAUGCCAAGGCAGAUCUGGCAGCUGAGGACACCAGGAUGGCCAUGGAGCGGGCCACUUUAGAUGCACAAGCCUACAGGCUCAUGUUGGACCAGAGUGCCUCGCAGGAAGUCAUGAGGAGGAAGUACCGAUCCCGUUUGCCUCCGGUUUUUUAGGCCAGAGACCUUUUCAACACUCCACGAGUAGGAACCGGCAAUCCGCUGGAGGGAAACCGGGCGGAAGCUCCCGAGACCGGGGCACCGGUUCAACCUCGUCAGAUGGACCCGCCUCGUCAAAACACCGUUGUACCUCAGGCUGUUUUAACACCUCUGGGUCACCACUCCAACCCGAUGGACAAUCUCGUUGCCGCUGAUGCACAGCUGGAGGCCAUUCCAAUUGAAGGUGAUUCGCCGCAGGCAGUAGAGACGCGACGAGUCAAGGAACUUCUGAGGACAGCUUUGGUCCAACAGGAAGCAUACUCGUAGAGCCGCGACCGGAUCCACUCGACCCCCCGUCCAAGCCGGAGCUAUAGCAGACAUAUGGAUGAACCGGCAGUGUCGAGUAAUGAACGACGUGGAGCACCCCGUGGCAACAACCUGACGGGAGGUGCUGAUAACACUCAGGAAGUGGUGAACCGGGCCCGAGCGCGUAGGGAGGCCGAGUUAGCCACACAGCAUCAGGCUCGGCAGCUCACGCCGGUUCGUCCAACCAUCUCGAUCGAACCUGGUGUUACUUCUAGUUCUUUGGGGUGCCUUGCCUUAUCCCCACUUUACGCAAUGUGCGCCUGCCCAAGGAUUUCAAGGGCCCGCGCAAGGUACCAAAUUACAGGCGGAUCAGCCUCCGGAGACAUGGGUGGAGAGCUAUGAGAUGGCCAUGGAGAUGCUUGAUGUGGAUGACGCGGCGUGUGCGAAAUACUUCACCAUGAUGCUUGAAGGAACAGCCCGUACUUGGUUAAAAAGCUUGCCGGCUAAUUCUAUCAGUUCAUGGACCCAAUUACGAGCCCGGUUUAUCAGCAAUUUCAAGGAUACAUGUAAACAGCCUAUGUCGAUAGUGGACUUAGCUGCAUGCGUCCAGGAGGAAGGAGAAUCAAUGACUCAUUGGGUGCGCCGGGUUUCACAAGUGUUGCACUCAUCAGACCGCAUCAACGCUGACACCGCAGUAUUAACCCUAGAAGGCAACUGCCGGUUUGGGCCCCUGAAGCUGAAGUUGGGACGGAUGAAGCGUCAUUGCACUCACAUGGGGACCCUCAUGGCCGCUUUGGUGAAAUAUGCUGAUUCUGAUAGUACCAAGGAUCCCGAAUCUGAUGAUGACAAGACAGGGAAGGGAAAGAGGAACAACAACUCCAAAGGUCAGCAACAUCACUAGGCAGGCAAUGGUGGUGGAGGCAAGCGUAAAGGGGAUGGUAACAUGGACUUUGUGGCUAAUACCAACACACGGGACAAUGGCCAGCGACGCAGGGGUAAACCGAAAAAAUCAUAAUGGGGGCGCCCAACCCUAACCCAGACCGCCUAAACUAUCUGCUAAGCCAGCCCUGUCCAAGACAUGGGAUGAAGGAGGCGCCAGCAAACCACCUUUGGAAGGAUUGCUUUAUUAUGCAGGAGUUCAAGAAUUCUAAUAAUUUCCGGUAUGAUCACGAAUCUGGCGGUGGCUCAAGAUCCGGGUCGGGUUACGAUGGAGGAAGUUCCAGUUCAGGAUUUAAUGGUAAUUCGGGCGGACAUAAUGGUCAAAAUAGUCAGAACAACCAGGGUGGUUACAACCAACAACAGCAACAGUCAGGUUACCAGAGCAACCCAAAGCAGUUGAGUAGUGGGCAGUACCAUGUCUUCACCACUAGCUUGGACAAGCGAGACCGGAAGAUUCAGAGGCGGGCGGUCAAGUCUGUUGAACCGGCCAUACCCCACUAUCUACGUUGGUCUGAACAACCAAUCAUAUGGAGCAAAGAGGAUCACCCUCCCCAGGUCAAUAAUCCGGGUCAGUUGGCUCUGGUGGUGGCGCAUCAGGUGGGAGGUUAUAACUUCACCAAGGUGCUCAUGGAUGGAGGUAGCAGUAUUAAUAUCUUGUACUAUGUGACCUUCCGUCGUAUGGGACUGACAGAUAAAAAUCUUAAACCGUCUAAUACGGUGUUCCACGGUGUAGUACUUGGCAGAUCAGCAUAUCCUGUUGGUAAGAUAGCUCUGGAAGUGGCCUUUGGGGAUGAUCAUGAUUCCAGGUCGGAGACAUUGAUGUUUGAAGUGGUGAAGAUCCAAAGUCCGUAUCACACCCUAUUUGGGCGACCGGCCUAUGCCAAGUUUAUGGCACGGCCCUGUUAUGUGUAUUUGCAGCUCAAGAUGCCGGGUCACAAGGAGACAAUAACGGUUCAUGGAAGUCACAAAAUCACUUUGGAGUGCGAGGAAGGUGAUGCGGCCUAUGCAGAGUCGGUUUGUGCCACCGAGGAGCUGAAGUAUUAUAAGGACAAUGUUGAUCCGGCGGACAUGACUCCAUUAAAGAAGCCAACUACGGAGCAUGAUCCUCCCCUGAAGUUCAAAUCGGCAGCAGAAACUAAGCUUGUUGACUUUGUACCUAGCGAUUCGUCCAAGCAGUUCAGCAUCAGUGCUAAUUUGGAUCCGAAAUAGGAAAGCACGCUCAUCGAGUUCAUCCGUGAGAAUCGGGACAUUUUUGCAUGGAAGCCCUCUGACAUGCCAGGUGUACCGAGGCAACUCGCUGAGCACACCCUUAAUGUGGAUCCUAAAUACAAACCGGUGAAACAGUUCCUCCGCCGGUUUAAUGAAGAAAGACGCAAGGCAAUUGGAGAAGAGGUAGCCAGGCUCUUAGCAGCUGGUUUUAUUGUUGAAGUUUUUCACCCUGAGUGGCUUGCCAAUCCGGUGCUGGUCCUUAAGAAAAACGGCACCUGGCGCAUGUGUGUGGAUUACACAGAUCUUAAUAAAGCUUGUCCAGCAGAUCCUUUUGCCCUCCCCCGUAUUGAUCAAAUUAUUGAUGCUAUGGCGGGUUGUGAGCGUUUAAGUUUUGUGGAUGCAUAUUCUGGCUAUCAUCAGAUCAAAAUGGCAGUUAAGGACCAGUAGAAAACGCCAUUCAUAACUCCCUUUGGAGCCUUCUGCUAUGUGUCUAUGCCCUUUGGGCUCAAGAGUGCCCAGGCAACUUAUCAACAUUGUGUGCAAAAUUGUUUACACAAAUAGAUUGGCCGUAAUGUACACGCCUACGUGGAUGAUAUCGUGGUUAAAUCCAAGGAGAAGGAGACUCUGAUUGGUGAUUUAAAGGAAACCUUUGAUAACCUGAGGACAUACAAGAUGAUGCUUAAUCCGGACAAAUGUGUCUUUGGUGUACCGGCGGGCAAGUUAUUAGGCUUCCUAGUGUCCAAUAGGGGAAUUGUGGUUAAUCCGGAGAAGAUCACAGCCAUCACCUCCCUGGCUAAACCGAAGUGUAUCAAUGAUGUUCAAUGCCUGGCAGGCCGGAUUGCCGCGUUAAGCCGGUUUAUCAGUCGUCUUGGUGAGAAGGCAAUCCCUUUGUAUCAGAUGUUGAAGAAGACGUAUCAGUUUGUUUGGAGUUCUGCUGCUGAUGAAGCAUUUGAGGAAUUAAAGCGGCAAUUAGCCAAUCCGCCUGUGCUCGCCGCUCCCAUUGACAAGGAGCCGUUACUGCUAUACGUUGUUGCUAAUGCUCGGGCGGUUAGCGUGGCUAUUGUGGUGGAGUGAAAGGAGGCAGGUAAGGAGCAUCCGGUUCAACGUCCAGUCUAUUAUAUCAGCGAGGUGCUCAUUAAGUCCAAGCAAAGGUAUCCGCAUUGGCAGAAGCUGGUGUAUGGAGUUUUUAUGGCAAGCCGGAAGCUUAAACAAUACUUCCAAGGGCAUCCAAUUACGGUGGUCAGUUCUGCUCCUUUGGGGGAUAUCAUCCAGAACCGGGAAGCAACUAGCUAGUAUUUUCUUUUUUUAUAUUGUUGUAUUCGUAUUUUUACAGGUUUUAUACAGUUACAACAUACACAUACACUGGAACUAUAUGAAAAAGGAAUGUCUCAUCAUCAUCAUCGAAGUGGUACAACAUAGUCUCAUCAUAUCAACAUAGUCUCAACACAAAUGAUGUCGAUCUCAUCAUCUCGAAAUAGCGAUACAAGUUAAUAAUCACAUGUCUCUUACAUUGUCACCGUAGACACAUGUUUCAUCAUCUACCUAAACUAAGACAUAAAUGAUAAGAGCGAUCACGAUGAUCAAAAGCGGUAUGAUGUAAGAGUUUUUGCGGCGGCGCUGGUUCUGAAUCCCCUGUUGUGCUAUGAAUCUCAAGUAACUAGCUUCGACUUCCUCUCUGCUAUCAAACCCUUUCUGGAUUCCACCGGAGAAGCCAGAGACUUGGGCCUGACACUCUGUCCACUCAUCAUACACACCCGGAACAUGCCCUACAUACACGGCAUACCACUUCCUCGCCAUCAUUGAUCUAUAUACCUGUCAGAGAUGCACAUAUAUAUAUACCAUGAAGCGAAUUCAAGAAAACAGUUAUGAAAUAGAAGCAAGAUAUAUAGUAAACAUAGUUAACAAAUUUCAUUGUACCGAAAGUAAUUAACUAGAGCGCGGCACCAUACAUCUAAUAGUUUUGUCGUACUGAGAAAUUCGAAGUUUCAUCGUACAUAAAGUAACAAGUAACUAAACAGACACAUUGCUUUUAAGCAGUGCACUCUUCCCAUGUAACACCCUCGAUGCGGCUAUAUCUCCCACGUGUCAAAGCACGACUUAGAGGCAUAACCGCAUUGAAAGCAAUGUCGCAAGUGAGGUAAUCUUCACACAACCCAUGUAAUACAUAAGGGGAAAAAAUACAUAGUUGGCUUACAAUCGCCACUUCACACAAAUACAAGAAUAAAACAUUACAUCAACCGGAUACAAACAAGGUCCGACUACGGAACCAAAAUAAAAGAAGACUACCCCAAAUGCUACACAGAUCCCCGAUCGUCCCGACUAGGCUCCACUACUGAUCAACUGGAAACGGAACAACACAAAGGAGAAGAUCUUCAUUGAGCUCUUCCUUGAGCUUGGUUGCGUCGCCCGCUCCGUUACAUCGGCACCUGCAAACUGGUUUUAGAAGUAUCUGUGAGUCACAGGGACUCAGCAAUCUCACACCCUUGCAAUCAAGACUAUUUAAGCUCAUAGGAAGGGUAAAAGGUACGAGGUGGAGCUGCAACAAGCGACUAGCAUAUAUGGUGGCUAACCUAUUCGCAAAAGAGAGCGAGAAGAGAAGGCAAAAGCACGGUCGAACAACUAUGAUCAAGAAGUGAUCCUAGAACAACCUACGUCAAGCAUAACUCCAACACCGUGUUCACUUCCCGGACCCCGCCGAGAAAAGACCAUCACGGUAACACAUGCGGUUGAUCUAUUUUAAUUAAGAUCAACUUCAGGUUUUCUACAACCGGACAUUAAAAAAUUCCCAUCUGCCCAUAACCGCGGGCAUGGCUUUCGAAAGUUCAAACCCUGCAUGGGUGUCCCAACUUAGCCCAUCACAAGCUCUCACGGUCAACGAAGGAUAUUCCUUUUCCCAAGACAAUCCGAUCAGGCUCGGCAUCCAGGUUACAAGACAUCCUCGACAAUGGUAAAACAAGUACAGCAACACCGCCCGAAUGUGCCGACAAAUACCGAUAGGAGCUGCACAUAUCUUGUUCUCAGGGCACACUCAGAUGAGACUAGCUACGAGUAAAACCAACCCUCAAGUUUCCUCGAGGUGGCCCCGCAGGCAGCUCGGUUCGGACCAACACUUAGAGAAGCACUGGCCCGGGCGGGGGUUAAAAUAAAGAUGACCCUUGAGUCUGCAGAACCCAAGGGAAGGUGGUAGGUUGUUAGUGCAAAUGGCAAAACCAAGGUUGGGCAUUGCUGGAGGAGUUUUUUCAAGGCGAACUGUCAAGGGGUUCCCAUUAUAACCCAACCGCGUAAGGAAUGCAAAAUCCGGGAACAUAACACCGAUAUGACGGAAACUAGGGCGGCAAGAGUGGAACAAAACACCAGGCAUAAGGCCGAGCCUUCCACCCUUUACCAAGUAUAUAGAUGCAUUAAUUAAAUAAGAGAUAUUGUGAUAUCCCAACAAGUAAACAUGUUUCAACAAGGAACAACAUCUCCAUGUUCCAACAAGGAACAAACUUCAAUCUUCAUCUGCAACUAACAACACUAUAAGAGGGGCUGAGCAAAGUGGUAACAUAGCCAAACAACGGUUUGCUAGGACAAGGUGGGUUAGAGGCUUGGUUUAACUAUAUGGGAGGCAUGAUAAGCAAGUGGUAGGUAUCGCAGCAUAGGCAUAGCAAAAUAGCGAGCAUCUAGCAAGCAAAGAUAGAAGUGAUUUCGAGGGUAUGGUCAUCUUGCCUCAGAUCCCGCAAGGAAGAAGAAUGAGUCCAUGAAGAAGAAAAACGAGCAUAGACGAACGGGUCCUCACAAACGCGACGUUAACGGAACCAACCCGAAGGAGCAACACCGGAAAAAAGCACACAACAUAGUAAACAACCAACACAUGAACAUGGUAUGAUAUGCGGGAUGCGGUAUGCGAUGCAUAUGCAUGAUUUGACAAGGAAUGAUUGAACCCGGCCUCAAAUUGGGAAUCCAAGAGUGCCACUGGAAAUUUGAGGUGAUCUCGGUUCAAAUCGAUAUAAAGAUCACCGGAAUCGGAUGCACGGUCUGGAAAUGGCAAGCAAAACAAAUAUGGCACCGGUCUGCGAUAAUCAGCAAGUGACCAACUAAAUGCAACAAGAUAAAUAUGCUACAACGCUCAAACAUGGCAACAAAAUACAUGGCAGGGAUCCACUCAAGAUGCUUGACAAAAGAUGAACACUGAGCUACGGCUAAUUCACUCAUUAACAUGUUCAAACAAGCAUGGCAAAAGUGCAAAUGAUAACAGGUUUCAGACUUGGUGAAAUUAACACAAGUUUGGAAUUUUCAUCAAGAAGCACACUUUAGAGCAUGAAAACUACAUUCUACAGGAACUUAACAUGGCAAAGCAAGGCAUGGAAUGAAGCUACUCAAGGCACUUAACAAAAGUCCCUUAGUGACCUUGAUCCAAAAGGGAUCAGAAAAUACAAUUGCAAGCAUGUGAACAUGGCAAAAACAUAAAUAGAUUCAGACUUAUGAAAAACUGGAGCAUGCAAAUCAGUUAACGAGUAGGCAUGUUUACGAGCUCGAUGCACUCGCUACAGAGCAUGACAUGGCAAACUAAGCAUACACCCAUCAAGAAUACAUGUCAUAGGAGCUAGACAUGGCAAGAACAACAACAUAGCAUGCACGGAUCAAUAGCAACAUCCUCGGCAAAAUCGCUAAACAUGUCAACAAUCUGUCAGGAUUCACUUUAUAGCAAAAGUAGAGCUCGAUUGACUCAAGCUAGGGUGCUCCAUAAAUGCAAACAAAGACAUUUAUGGAUAUAGAACCACAAUGUUAACAAAACAUCCUUACUGAUCAUACUCAAAAGAGGCACGGAUCACUAGGAAACAACAUGAACAUAUGGAUAGAGAAAUUCUAAGUCCCUGAAAUCAGCAUUACCGAUUACGCUACUUUGCAAGCUUGUGCUAGUCACCACCAAUAUCACAAAAAUACAUGGCAAGCACCACUGUAAAGAUGGCAUGGCAUAUAACAAAAGACAUGUAGAGCUCAGGGUCAUAGCAUGCACACAAUAAUCAUGGCAAAAAUGACAAAAUGCCAUUUGCUGAAACAGAUCUGACAAAAUACUCACAUAGCCCUUUUCCAACGACAUUUCGGGCAUGAAGAUGAGCUCAAAUGAAAAUUAUGCAAUGAGAUGAAAUUAUGCACUCGUCGAGACGAACAUUUUGAUAUGCUACACGCGUGAAACGGAGCUACGAGUGCAGAGUUACAAUGCGAUGCAAAUACCUAAAAAAUUACUGGGACAAAAUGACUUAGGAGAAUUUUGGGGUCAACCUCAAAACAUAUCUGGAUCGGGCGGUUGCCGAUGCUCAUCGGUGUUGGCGCCGGACUUCGGGGAGGAGGCCGGAGAAGGGACGCCGGCGAGGUUAGAGGGCAGCGGAUCCGGCAGAUCCAUCCGGACUCGGGUCUCCCACAGCCGGAUCCCGCGGGGCGGCGGCGGAGCUCCUUGGGGUGAGGAGGAGGCGGCGCACUGGUGACCGACCGGUGCGAGGCAUGCGGCGGCGGGGCAAAAAAGGCGGCGGCGCGCGGGCUUUGCAGCAAACGGCGACGAGGAGAGGCAGGUGGCGCGGAUCCUGAGUGGCGGCGGGGAGCCACGGGGAGGCGCGCAGUCGCGCUCGGGCCGUGCGGGCCGCGCCUUAGCCCGCAGGGCCGCAACAGCGGAGGAGAGAGAGGGGAGGCGUGGGGCGACACGCGGUGGCGGCGGAUUGGCUGGAGGAGGCGGCGGAGCUGAGGUGGCGGCUACGGAUUGGUCCGGGUGAGGUGGCGGUGGCGGUGGACAUGUCCGGUCGGUGGUGAGGAGUUUUGUCCGGUGGCGCGAGGAGCGGGGCUAGGGUUUCAUCUGCGCGAAAAAUCCAGGAGGCACACAUAUAUAUAGGUAGAGGGAGCUAGGAGAGUCCAAAUGAGGUGCGGUUUGGGGCCACGCGAUCGUGAUCGAAUGCUCUAGAUGAUAGAGAGGGUUUAGGUGGGUUUUUGGGCCACUUUGGAGGGGUGUUGGGCUGCAACACACACAAGGCCUUUACGGUCCCUCGGUUAACCGUUGGAGUAUCAAACGAAGUCCAAAUGGCACGAAACUUGAUAGGCGGUCUACUGGUAGUAAACCAAGGCCGCAUGACAAGUCUCGGUCCAAUCCGAAAACGUUUAACACCCGCACACAAAAAGAGGUAGAAAGGGACGCCGGGUGACAUAGGAGCGCAAGAUUGCAAAACGGCCAAUAGGGAAAAAGCUCGGAUGCAUGAGACGAACAUGUAUGCAAAUGAAAUGCACAUGAUGACAUGAUAUGCAAUGCAUGACACGCAAGCAAUGACAAGGCAACAACAGCGAAUAACUGGAGGACACCAGCUGGCACAUCGGUCUCGGGGCAUUACAUCCCAUCUGUCCAUAUCCGGAUGGGUGUCACCAAGCUUAGUGAAAGGCCUCAUGUCCUGACGCUCUAGGGCAAUGCGGGUUCGGACGUCAGCUCGCGAUAUUGGGCCGCCGUAGAACAUCCCAUUCUCUUCAAGGACAUCUUUGAUGAUGAUGGACACAAUUUCCUGUUGGAUCCUAUAGAAAUCAUUUCGAAGUCGAUUAUCCGGCACGGCUCCAAAGGCUUUGGCCCAUCUCUGGAUAUGGGUAUCGGAUGAAGAUUUCAUGCAAAGUGAUUGCACAUCCCUUCUAUACUCCAUCAUUAGAUGGAUGACGUAGAAUCCAUCAUUCUCACUUCUUGUCGGUUCCUGGAUGCAACAGAAGUCAGUCUUGUGGCUGAAACAAAGCCCAGCCUCAUUUGUUUUUUCAUUGGACAUAGCCACCCCGCAUGCUGAAGCCCAGUAUAGCUCUGUCCAGAACAUACUUAAUGUGUGUAUAAUCUUUCUUCUGUAUGUUCUUUGACGGGUCCAAAUAUAGAGCAUGGGAGUAACGCGGGUAAAGAACAAUGAGAACGGCAUGACACCACCCGCUGCGCAAAAUACACGAUCAAGUUUAGCCUCCAUGUGUGCAAAGUAACUAUUGAAAUGCAUGAAAUGAUGCAUGUGUCCUAUCCGCGGAUGUCUUACUUGGGAUGAUAAGGUAGGAGAAUCGUUUCUUUGUCCUUAUGGCUGACCAAGAAUUCUUCAAUGUACUGACUCGCAUAUUGAUGGUUGGCAUCGUUGAUUGACAAGAAGCCCUCAUGCAUGUAGUAUGGGUCCGCGACCACAAGACCGGUGACUUGCUCUCUCCUGACAAUGUAGUUCAUGUGCAGCGCAUACAGGCGGACGAAGGUAAAAUCGAGUGUCCUCAUUUGAAACAUCUGGAAGAUGUAAUCAAACCUCAGGAAGAAGAGGUCCGCGGGGCAUGUGUGGACAUACAUCUUGCAGCUGCUCGGCACAUGAACCGUAUAAAGUGGGUAUCCUAGAUCAUCCGAGGCGAGGAGGCUUCUCUCUGUCGAAAGCACAUGGUCAUGGAGUCUCCUGAGAUCCCCUUCUAUGGCAGCUAGUGCAUUCGCCCGUACCAUUGGCUGUCCCACGACAUGGAUUAAUGGCGCAUGUUUCGUCGGUACACGGUCAACCUUGUUCAAAGGCGGCUGGCUGCUAGAACCAACAUUGCCAGCUUUAUUGGAUUUUCUCGCCGCCGGUCUCUUCCUCUGCUUCUUCUUGGGCUCAGUUGCUGGUGGGUCUGUUAGACCCUCCUUGAGCACCACCCCUGUCGGGUGGUAGGUGCGACAUAUGCCAACGGGUGGCUUAUCAUUGUGGGUGCCUGGAAACGGGCUGAGGCGAAGACAUGCACGCCGGCGAAUCUUACCCAGCUUCGGGGCUCUCCGUGGAGAUAACACCCCUACUGCUGCUCUGCGAGGUCUCCGCAUGAUCACUAGAGGAACAAGUAGCUACACAAUGCUCCUUGAGUUGUUCGGUGGGAGGAGGAAGAAGGGCACGGCUAGCUUGCUUCUCUCCUUGUAUGGUGUCUAAAACUUGCAGGGAUCAACCCUUUGCAUGGGUGCCCCGGGGGGUUUAUAUAGGCCUACCCCCCGGGGGUACAAUGGUAAUCCGACUGGGCGCAGGGCCCAGCCGUCUGUGACUACGCUCGCCGGCUUCUGCGCUGACUACUGGGGCCCGCCGGCUGGUGGGUCCCGCCUGCUGCCAACUCCUUAGCAACAGGCAGGCCCCACUGCCAAGGGUCUUGUUGGUGGCUGGUUACUGUUGCCUCAACCUGAUGAUGAGGGCUUCGUCGAGGUAAGCUUGGCUACAGUGCCGCCGUCCUGCGGGCGAUCGCUGUAGCCUUACCGCGUCUUGUCUGCUUAAUGGGGCGUCUCCUUCGAGGGGGUGGCAGGCCGAAUGGAGAGAGCCCGCUCCGUCUCGGGCCGACUGGGGGAGGCCAGGCCGCCUUCAGGUGUCUCUCUGCCUGAAGGGGCCCACCGCCCGUGGGCCGUACUGGUAACCCGUCGUGUAUGACAUCAGGGUCGGUGUGGCAACAGUGCCGCGCCGGACGGGUCAUGGCCACCCGUACGGCGCACUGUGCCAGGCACGCUCUGGGAUUCGGGGGGUGGCAGGCUUCACUGUAGCCACGCCCCGUCACAUCGCCGUUAGGUGGAUGCAAUCUUUGAGGGUACGGUCUCGACCGCUUUAUGGGAGCCGGCUUCUCGGAGUCGGCCUCCUCGCGGCCGGCUUCUCGAAGUCGGCCCUCCCAUGGCUUUCUUCAUGAGGGCUAAAGUCGGGCCGCCUUCCGAAAGCCGGCCUGGGUGACGGCCAGCAAGGGGAAGGCGGCCCCAUGUCUUGGAUUCUCGAGAGCCGGACGGGCUCGUAAUUUUUUCAAAAGGGCCAGGGGAAGCCGGCUAGGCUACCCAUUGCUAUUUACUCCGACAACCCCUAGUGUUGUCGGGCUCAGCUUUGGAUGACUCUGGCUAAUCAGUUGAGCUUGGCUGGAGCUGGCAUCUGGAGGCGUGUCAUGCGAGGAUUGCAUGAACAAAGACUUCUUGCACUCCCGAGGACGUUCCGGCUCUGGUACAUGCAUCUCAUAAUCAUAUGGUUGACUCAUUGUUACAUCGUUGUCAAAGGUUGUAUUGAAAUACUGGUUAGGGUCAUCGUCGGCCUCCUCCAUCUCAUGAUCCCUAUCCUCUUCCAUGGGGCAGAUGGCAUCAUCUGCCGGCGGAAUGGUUGGCCCUCCUUCCUCAUGUCUAGCGAUAUUAGCAAGCAACACAAACGAUGGUUGUACUUGUGUAGGUGGUGUUGUGGUCAUACCUUCCUGAGGUCCCGUUGGUGUGCUCCCGGCCACCUCGACACGAAGAAGAUUUUUCGGCCACAAGAUCGGCCAAUUUUUGCAUUGCCCAAGCUGCGUGGGGGUCUCGUCAUCCUCUCCAUCGGUUUGUACCGGACGAGGGAGACCCUCGUAGCCCGCUUUCACACUCGCCAUGGAGACCCUUAAGGCGUUAUCAAGCAUCUGCUGGCGGUGAAACAAUCAAUCGUUAGGCAACACUAUAGUACCCUGCCCCACAUCCACCAACCCGCCCUUCAUGUUGUAAAGGAGGGUGCACGGAGUGUAGUCGGCCUACAAAGACAUAUACGUGCGGCGUCAGAGAUCCAAGAACAACGGCAACUGAAGAUUAAUUAAUUAGUUGAGUUGAUGAAGGUGCGGUGCAAUGACGCGUAUUUACCGUGUGGGCGUCGAGCUCAGCCAAUGUCGAUGGCUCGACAUUCAAGCCAGAGACGGAGCUAGGGCUGCUGUGAGAGCUGGGUGGAGGAGCAGGUGCCGCUGGAGGAGGUGCGCCGGUUGCCAUACAAGGUACAGGUAUGGGUGCAGUGUUCAUUGAGUUGCUCUCGCUGAAGCUGGGUACGGGAAAAUCACUUGGUGGCGUGUUUGGAUUUUGUUGCACCCAUGUGACCACUGUUGGAAUCAAGCUUGUAAAGGCAGCCACCAUAUCAUCUCUACGGGCAGCGAUUAUCUCAGCUUUGGUCUCAGCUUUUGCUUUCUCCAUCGCCCGCGCCACCUUCUCGUCGAUAGUCACUUGACAGAACUUCUUUCUCUGUCUUUUGGCCUCGGGGUCCUUGUUAUAAUAGUACUUCCAAGUGGCACCAUCCCCGGCGGCAUGAACACGUCCAUAUUGCGGCCGCUGGCCGGGAGGGUCUCCCAUCAUUAUGUUCAUGGGCCGGUUGAAAGCAGUGUCCCACUUGUACUUCGCCGACGACUGAGCCGACUGAGUCGACGAGUCGCUCUCGGCCGCAAGCUUGUGUUGCUCUCUCUGCAAAAUGGACCGUGAAUCAUUUACGAAUCCGAAUAGAAUGUAGUAGACUUCAUUGAUCAGAACCUAAUAUGUAAGGUGGUAAAAAGGAUAAUUACCAGUAAUCUCAUGAAUUGCCUAGUCAGCCCGUCUAUGAAAAAAAUCUUUUUCUUGGGGUCCCACGAGAAUCGGGCCCUGAUGAAGUCGUGCUCCUGCUGGUCGGUGAACUCAACCAAUGGGUCUGGGAUCCCCUGACGGUCAUGUUCUGCGUCCUCCUUAGCCCACACGGGCCUCUUUCCAGUGUAACCACGACUUCCAAGGCGGUGGUUCCCCAUCUCCUUUGCCUCCAGCUGCUUGCCUCUCUCCGACCUGGCCUAGGCAGCUUCUUCAUUGCAAGUCUCCUUGAACAUUUCAAAUUCCUCUAUCGUAAUUUUCGGAUUGUCUGCAACAAUCUCGGCGUAGGUUUCAUUCUCUUGAAUCACCCUUUUCAACCUAGUUUUCCAAGCGCUCAAUGCGUUGAUGAACUUCCCUAGGGCUUUGUUGUUGAUUUUUUUCAUGCCCUCAUCAUCCCAUGGGUCGACAUCGUCUUUCCGACCGGGGAACUAGAAUCUUAUGUGCAACCUAGUUAGAAGAAGCUUCUUCAAAUGUUCAUUCUUCCGUAUUUUUGUGUCGUUGAUGUUAGCGGUAUCCCGUAGGAUGCAUCCUAGUUGGUUUCUGUAACAUGCUGCCACUUCUUGCGGCUCUAUGGGCUCGAACUCGCCAGGGUGCACCGCCGUGACCACCAUUCUUCCGGUGUCGAGCUCAUUUGGGCGUCGUGUCCUCUUUUCCUUCUGUCCCUCACUGGCUUGGAAGGUCCCACCAUCCGUGCUGCAGUUAGGAACAUCAUCAGCACCAGUCUCAGUGCCGGUGUCGUUGGUGGCAUCAGUGUCGGCGCUGGCGCCACCACCGUCGUCAUCCGUCAUGACAAGGCGGUCCGGACACCCAGCUUGCUAUCCCUCCUGAUCCGCUAGAAAGUCGAGGUAGGCGUGUGCUUGACCUAAUUGGGUCUGAGAACCUCCUGCCGCAUCGGUGUCGGUCAUGUUUCCUAGGGUUCAAUGUCGUAGUGGUUUAAUAUAAAUUGAAUAAUGAAAAAGUGACCUUUGUUUUGCCGGAAAUGUCGUUUCAUUCCCGUCGCGACAAAUCUCAAGCACUCGAUAUGUCCAACUUUCUAGCACAAGUCAAGCCAAAAUUCACAGAAAAUUUCGGCAUGACCUUUGCUAGAAAGUGCACAUAUAGAGGGCCUGAAAUUUGCUGGAAUGGAAAUGAAUCAACAUUUCUGGCAAAACAUAGGUCACUCGCAAUCGGGAAAUGAAUCAACAACCAAAGUCUGGUAGAACUACAUCAGUACAACAAUAUAGGAUGCUCACUAUAGCAGCACAACAACCACAUGCACAUGUACUCUCCUCUAGCAUCUGCAUGGACAGAGCUCUACAUAGUGUGGGUUUUGGGAUGCUCACUAUCUGACUGUCGAGGAUGAGGGUCUGGUGUCGAUGAUCUUCGUGCGGCGUCGUCGAGCGGCACGUCGGUGAUCUACCUGUGCGUCAAGCAUUCACAAGAUAAAUUAUUGUAGACACACAAGAUAAGUUAUUGUAGACACACAAGAUCUAUUGUGGACCUACAAUCUUCUUAAUAAAAUCCAAAACAAGCAUAUUCACAACAUUCUAACAAUAGGCAUUUUAAUAGCAAGCAUUUGAACAACAUGCAUUUUAAUAGCAAGCAUUUGAACACUCUAACAAUAGGCAUUUUAACAGCAAUUGAACACUCUAACAACACACAUUUGAACAUUCUAACAACAGACAUUUAACACUCUAACAACAUGCAUUUUAACAACAUUCAACAUUUGGACAGCAAGCAUUUGAACAAAACAAGCAUAUGAAAAGGGAGGGAAGAGGGGAUGGCACACCUUGGCUGGGGUUGGGAUCAGGGUCGGGGUCGCCGGGGAUGAGGGGCCGGGUGCAGCUAGGUCGGGGUCACCGGGGCAGAGGGGCCGGGGUCCUUCUCCUCCUCGUCGAUCUGCAGAGAGACCAAAUUUGGUCAGAGAGAGAGAGAGAGAGAGCAGGAGCGGCAUGGGGGUUGGGGUCGGNNNNNNNNNNNNNNNNNNNNNNNNNNNNNNNNNNNNNNNNNNNNNNNNNNNNNNNNNNNNNNNNNNNNNNNNNNNNNNNNNNNNNNNNNNNNNNNNNNNNNNNNNNNNNNNNNNNNNNNNNNNNNNNNNNNNNNNNNNNNNNNNNNNNNNNNNNNNNNNNNNNNNNNNNNNNNNNNNNNNNNNNNNNNNNNNNNNNNNNNNNNNNNNNNNNNNNNNNNNNNNNNNNNNNNNNNNNNNNNNNNNNNNNNNNNNNNNNNNNNNNNNNNNNNNNNNNNNNNNNNNNNNNNNNNNNNNNNNNNNNNNNNNNNNNNNNNNNNNNNNNNNNNNNNNNNNNNNNNNNNNNNNNNNNNNNNNNNNNNNNNNNNNNNNNNNNNNNNNNNNNNNNNNNNNNNNNNNNNNNNNNNNNNNNNNNNNNNNNNNNNNNNNNNNNNNNNNNNNNNNNNNNNNNNNNNNNNNNNNNNNNNNNNNNNNNNNNNNNNNNNNNNNNNNNNNNNNNNNNNNNNNNNNNNNNNNNNNNNNNNNNNNNNNNNNNNNNNNNNNNNNNNNNNNNNNNNNNNNNNNNNNNNNNNNNNNNNNNNNNNNNNNNNNNNNNNNNNNNNNNNNNNNNNNNNNNNNNNNNNNNNNNNNNNNNNNNNNNNNNNNNNNNNNNNNNNNNNNNNNNNNNNNNNNNNNNNNCUUUUUUUUUCAUUUCAUUUUGCAAAACUUCCUUUCUUUUUCUUUUUUUCUUCUUUUUCUUUCAUUUGCACUAUUUUUUUUCUUAUCUUUCUUUUGCACUUUCCUUCCUUUAAUUUGGUCUGUCGUUAGAGCAAUACCACUGUUACCCUCCGGAUAAUAAUUAGUAUAAUAUAUAUUACAUGAUUUGACCGCUAACACCGGUAUACAAAAAAGACACACACAAACUUUGGGAUUAGUUUGUCAGCUUGGGCGACGACGACGCUUUAGACUGAUCUUCUUCCCUCUUUUGUUCAUUGUCGAAUAAUUGAGCCCAUGGUCAUGACUUUUCCUUCUCCAGGGAUUACGAUCUUUCGUAAGUAAUGUAGUCUUCAUUCUUCUUUGGACAUAUGUUUCGACCUCAUCAGCAUCAUCUUCCCACAUCGGAUCACCGUACUGGUCAUAGUCUUGCUCGUUGGCGACUCCAUCCAUUCCUGCGAUGCUCCUUCUGCUUCUCCUCACGACAACACGACUGGGAUUGAUCGGAUCAGUUAUGAAGAAACAUUAUGUCACAUGUUUAGCGUGUACCCAUGGCUCAUUUUUGGCGAUGGCGUUGACGGUACCGCUAUCAUCGAAGUCGGGUAUACACAUGGUAGUGAAAUGUCAGUUUUCUCUGUGUACAUUUUUAGCCCAUCUGACAUGGAACAUCCUCGCGCUAUGCAAUCCAGAGUAGUUAAGCUCCCAUAUCUCUUCGACCCUUCCAUAAUAUCUUUCUCCGUUCAUGGCUUCCAUCGUCACCCCUGAGUUUUGGUCAUCAUUGUUUAUAUCUUUCUCCUCCGUGUAGAACGUGUGUCCGUUGAUAUCAUAUGCUUGAUAAGUCACGAGGUUGGUCGAGGGGCCAUGUGCUAAGGCGUAUAUGAGUGUUCCGUUCGGACAACCCUCUUCCGGGGGAUUAGCCAGAACUCGCUCUUUGAACCAACGCACGAAAGUGGAGUUGUGCUCUCUAAUAACUUCAACGUCCGUCCUAUGCACCCAACAGUCACGGUAUUUCUUUGCGAUGGUCUCUUUGUGCAGUGUCACAAAAUCUUCUAGCACAUCUAGGUGUUGUAGCACUACUAAGUUUGCCCUGUCAAUGUCGUUUUGUUGGCCCAAGCAUAACACAUUCAAAUCCCUAUGACCGUUGGUGUGACCUUCGCCUUCGAGCCUUCCACAGUGCUUGUUGACGGGCAAACCAACAACACGGUCUUUGGUCAGAUAACUCUCACAGAAAGAGAUGCACUCUUUGGUCAGAUAUCCAUGGGCUAUGCUUCCAUCUGGAUGGGACAUGUUACGAACGAAUCCUUUGAUGACCCCAUUCAUCCUCUCGAACGGUAUCAUGCUAUGCAGGAAUGUCGGCCCUAGGUCGAUGAUGUCGUCCACGAUGUGGACACAUAGAUGCACCAUGACAUGAAAAAACGCGGGCGGGAAGUACAUCUCUAGCUCAUUCAGUAUGACAAUGAACUCUUCCUGUAGCCUAUGGAGUUGCUUCACACUGAUCGACUUUCGAGAGAUAGCAUAAAAAAAGUGGCAUAGGUCAGUAAGCGUCUCACGCACAUGUGUGUCCAUAAUCCCUCUAAGUGCAACCGGGAGUAACCGCAUCAUCAUCACAUGACAGUCGUGAGACUUCAUCCCAUUGAACCUUUUUUCUUAGUGUCCAGAUAUCAGCUUAUCUUCCCAUAGUAUCCGGAAAUAACUUUGAUUCCGGCAAGGCAGUUGAACAAUUGAUCGACCUCCCUCGGAUCUAAGGUGAAGCAAGAGGGGGGGCAAUAUUGUUGUUCCUUCUUGUUUACUUUUUUGCCCCUAUCUUCCGUCUCGGUCUCCUUUGAUGACCUUUUACCGGGCAUUUGGAGAUCUUUCCUGAUUUUCAAAAAUUCCAAGUCUUUUCAUGCCUUCGGCCCAUCCUUGGUCCUCUCCGGCAUGUUCAUCAAUGUUCCAAGCAAACUCUUAAGGAUAUUUUUUGUGAUAUGCAUUUGAUCAAGGCUAUGAGGCGUGUCGAGUAUGGGCCAGUAUUCCAAGUCCCAGAAAACAGAUCUCGUCUUCCAUACCUUCAGCAGGGGCUCCGGCACCUUUUUCUUCGUCUUUCCUGGUGAGGGGCACUCUUUCCAGUUCUUCAAUAACUCAUAUAUUUCUGCACCGCUACGCUUACGUGGAGGACCUCGAUGCUCAGCCUUACCAUUGAAUAGAUCUCCACGCUUUCCCCAUGGGUCAUCCUUCUCGAGCUAUCUUUGAUGCCCCAUGUACACGAUUUUCGAAGACCCGCCAUCUUUCGAUAGCUGCAGAGAAGUUGUAUCAUCCAUGCACCUCGUGCAUCCGCAAUAUCCGUGGCACACCUGGCCGGAGAGAUAGCCGUAACCGAGAUAGUCCUGCACCGUCGUGAUCACCACGACUCUCAUAUAGAAAUACUCUCCUUUGCUUGCAUCCCAUGUCUUGGCCCGUGUUGUCCAUAAGGUCUGUAACUCCUCUUUCAGUAACCCGAGAUACAGAUUUAUAUCAUUUCCCGGUUGUCUCGGACCUAGAAUAAGCAUAGCCAUGUGUAUGUACUUUGCCUUCAUGCACAACCAGGGGGGAGGUUGUACAUCCAUACAAACACGGGCCAUGUGCUAUGAUUGGUGUUCUGGUUGCCAAAUGGAUUCAUUCCGUCGCUACUAGCGCCAAGCACGAUGUUCCUUGGAUCAUUUGCGAAAAAAUUAAAUUCAGCAUUUAAUGCUCUCCACUGGCUAGCAUCUACGAGGUGUCUCAGCUUCGACUCAUCUCCGCCAUCUGGCUUCACCCUCUCCACGUGCCAGCCUAUAAGCUUUGCUUCCUUAGGAUCUACGAAAUACUGAUGUAGACGCGGAAUGAUGGGAAAGUACCAUACAACUUUAUAUAGAGCUUUCUUUCCGGCCUUUUUAUAUCGUGAAGCAUUGCACUUUGGACAGAUGGUUUUUUCAGCGUGCUCGUUCCGAUAUAUGAUGCAAUCAUUGAUGCAUGCGUGAUAUCUAAUAUGUGGCAGAUCAAGAGGGCACACGAUUUUCUUUGCCUCCUCAACACUAGUAGGACACAGGCUUCCCGCGGGAAGAAUCUUCUUUAGGUACUUCAGAAGCUCAUCCAGGCUUGUAUCUGUCCAUUUGUUUUUUUCCUUCAUCUUUAGAAGUUCUAGUGUGGAACUCAAGUGGGUCACCUCGGGAUUAUUGCAACCAUCAUAUAAAGGAGUCAUCGAGUCUACCUCCAGUUGCGCCAGUUUGGCCUCCUCUCUAGAAGCAGCUCUGUCACUAGUCGUCUUCUUGCGAAGCAGGUCUUGAACAUGUGGGUCCCGCAUGGCUGAACUUAGCAGUGACGAAGAAGGUGGCGUGUCCGCGUCUUCUCCGCCUUGAACUGUCUCUUCGCCAUCGACAUUUCUGAGGUAGUCUUCCUCUUCCGGCACAUAAUCGGUCAUCUCUUCAUCUGGUGGCCCCAUGUCAUUAUUUCCUGCCCCGUCGACGUCCUCAUCAUCAUCACUUAUCCACCGAGUAUGGCCAUGCAUGAAACCAUGUAUGAGAAGGUGCGCCUUGAAUUUACCACCCUCAAAGGGGUCGAGCCUGACCCUUCCUUUGCAUUUUCGACACGGACAUAAAACAACCUUCAGUCUUUUUUCAUACAUGUCAUCCACAGCGGAUUGCCAGUAUCUUUCCACCUUCCUUCCAUUGACCUUCAUGAUCACUUGUGCGCCAAGCAAAUAUUUUAAACACGUAUAUAUGCAUGCAUGGAUCAAAUUCAUACAAAAAUUCGGCAUGACCUUCCCUAAAUAUAGGACAUAUUGAGUUUGCAUGCCCGAAAUUCGCCCAAACGGAAUUGAAUCGACAUUUCGGCAUAACAUAGGAAACUCAUGUCACCCACAUUAUUUCAUCAAAUACACAAUGUAGGAAACUCGGAUGAUGCCACACACAAAUCGGUAUAUAUAUUCUCAUAUCGCCCAUAUAUUUAUAGCUGCGAUCCUAUCCACACAAACACCUUUUUUGCUCAUCUAUGUGUUGAGAGGGAUAUCAAGCACCUUUCUUCUUAAUUACCUAGUAGCUCUAUAUAUAUAGCUCUAACUAGCUAGCUAGCUAGCUAGGGAGAGAGAGAGAGACAGAGCUAGCUAGGGAGAUAGUGGGAGAGGAGAGGGAAGGCAUUAAUGGAAGGGGUGGAGGGCAAAGAAGAGGGGNNNNNNNNNNNNNNNNNNNNNNNNNNNNNNNNNNNNNNNNNNNNNNNNNNNNNNNNNNNNNNNNNNNNNNNNNNNNNNNNNNNNNNNNNNNNNNNNNNNNNNNNNNNNNNNNNNNNNNNNNNNNNNNNNNNNNNNNNNNNNNNNNNNNNNNNNNNNNNNNNNNNNNNNNNNNNNNNNNNNNNNNNNNNNNNNNNNNNNNNNNNNNNNNNNNNNNNNNNNNNNNNNNNNNNNNNNNNNNNNNNNNNNNNNNNNNNNNNNNNNNNNNNNNNGGAGGGCAUAGAAGAGGGGGGUGGUGGAGGGCAAAGAAGAGGGGGAGGGAGGGCUCUAAUGGAGGGGUGGUGGAGGGGGAGCAUUGAAUGGAGCAAGCAAGGUGCAAGGAAAGGGGGAGAGAGGAAGGGGGAGAGGAAGAAGAAAGGGAAGGAAGGAGGGGAAAGGUGGUAGGUGGGUGGCGACCAUAGCAGUAGCGCGGGGUGCCAAAGCACGCUACUGCUAUGAGUGCCAGCCAAAAUAUCUGCUGGUACGUAAAACUAGCUAUAGCUCUUGUACAAAAACAAUGCUACUGGUAUAAGUUUACCCAUAGAAGAAAUAUCAGUAGCGCUUCUAGGUGCACGGGUGCUACAGCUACUUUCUUAACAGUAGCGCUUGUUAGGCAACAAACGCUGCUAAUAUUUUUUGGUCGGGUGGUGUGCUAUGGCAAACUUACCAGUAGCGUGGCCUCCAAAAACCAACGCUGCUACUAUGUUGUACCAGUAGCGCGCUUUGUAACAGACGCUACUGGUAACUAUCAGUAGCGUGGGGUCCAUAAUACGCGCUAUUGGUAAACUUCUAUGUACAAGCCUUUUCCUAGUAGUGGACUAUCUAGUACAAACCCAUCUGGUUGUUCCAUAUAAAUUUCCUCGUCCAACUCUCCAUUUUGGAAAGCAGUCUUAACAUCCAUUUGAAGAACGAGAAGACCAUGUGAGGCAGGUAGUGAAAGUAGAACUCAAAUAGUGAUCAGUUGAGCCACAGUUGAGUAAGUAUCAAAGGAGUCAUCACCUUCCAUUUGGGUAGAACCUUUAGCCACGAGCCGAGCCUUGUACUUUUCAAUAGUACCAUCAGGCCGAAGCUUCUUCUUGAAUACCCAUUUGCAUCCUAUAGGUUUGCACCCAUAAGGAUGAUCAGUUAUCUCCCAUGUUUCAUUCGCCAAGAUAGAAUCCAUCUCGCUACGAACCACUUCCUUCGAGUAUUCAGCAUCUUCAGAUGCAUAGGCCUCUGAAAUAGAGCUGGGAGUGUCAUCUAUGAGAUACACAAGAAAAUCAUCACCAAAGGACUUUGCAAUCCUCUGUCUCUUGCUCCUAGUAGGAACUUCAUUGUUCUCCUCCACAGGACUUUAAAAGUGUUCCAUCGAAAUGGUAGGUUUGGUAAUUGUAACUGGUUCCUGAUUCGAUGAACUAGGCAUCUCCUGAUUAGAUGAGGUAGUCAUAUCCUUCAUGGGAAAAAUAUCUUCAAAGAAAGUCGCAUCAUUCGACUCCAUGAUCGUACCGACAUGCAUGUCAGAUACCUCAGAUUUUACAACUAAAAAUCUACAACCAAUGCUAUGAAAAGGAUAUCCCAGGAAAACACAAUCCACGGUUUUUGGUCGAAGCUUGCACUUCUUUGGAAUUGGCACAAUGACUUUCGCCAAACAACCCCAGGUUCGUAGAUAAGAGAGUUUUAAUCUUUUCUUCUCCCACUCCUCGAAUGGAGUUAUCUCUUUAUUCUUUGUGGAAACUCGGUUUAGGACAUGACAUGCAGUCAAUAUCGCCUCCCCCCACCAUGCCUUGGAGAGACCCGAUGUGUCUAACAUGGCGUUAACCAAAUCAGCUAGAGUACGGUUCUCUCUUUCGGCUACCCCAUUUGACUGAGGUGAAUAGGGAGGCGUCCUCUCAUGGAUUAUACCAUGUUCCGCACAAAAAGCAUCAAAUUCAUUGGAAAAAUACUCUUCACCAUGGUCGUACCUAAGCCUCUUGAUUUUCCGAUCAAGUUGGUUUUCCACUUCAGCUUUAUAGAUCUUGAAAAAGUUCAAAGCCUCAUCCUUAGAUUUUAGAAGAUACACACGGCAGUAUCUAGUGGAGUUGUCAAUUAACGUCAUGAAAUAUUUCUUUCCACCUUUUGUCAAAAUACCAUUCAUUUCACAUAGAUCUGAAUGUAUGAGCUCUAGUGGUGUAGGAUUUCUCGUAUCCGCAGUCGUGUGAGACUUACGAGGUUGCUUAGCUUGCACACAAACAUGACAGUUAGAUCCCUUGAUAGUGGUGAAACUAGGGAUUAAGUUCAACUUUGCUAGUCGCGACAUGCAACCAAAGUUAACAUGACAAAGAUAUGAAUGCCACACAUUUGAUUCACUAUUGUUGCAAACAUGAUUAACAACUUCAUUGCAAACGUCUGACAAGGAUAAACGAAACAGGCCUCCUGACUCAUAUCCUUUACCAACAAAGGUUCCAUACUUGGAUAUUACAAAUUUAUUCGACUCAAAGACAAGCUUAUAGUCAUCUCUACACAGAAGAGAUCCGCUAACAAGAUUUUUAUUGACGGAGGGGACAUAAUGCACGUUCUUUAGCCACACGAUCGACCAUGCCAACACCACGAACAGAAGCACUUGAACCAUUGCCCAUCAGCACAGUAGAAGUCUAUGCGGUCUGAUAAGACGAAAACCUGGAAAUAUCACCGCAUACAUGCACAUUAGCACCCGUGUCAAUCAACCAAUCAGGAGAAUGACAUACUGAAAGAAAAGUAUACCAUACCCAGCAUCCUUCAUGUCAUUUUCUCUAAUGAAAACAUUAGCGGUCUUGUCGCCUUUCCCAGGAUGACGCUUGUCAUAGCGAUUAGGGCAACUAGGAGCCCAAUGAUCAGGAUCCCCACACACAUGACAAACACCUUUCUUCUUGUCAUUCUUCUUCUUGUAGUUCUUGUGCUGCACAGCCUUGUUCUUCCCAUCAAACUUUCCCUUGUUCUUGAACUUGUGGGGCUGGAAGUUCUGCUUAUGUACCAGAUUGGCACUAGAUCCUCCAUCAAUACCUCGAGCACGUGUGCCCUUUGCUCUCGCCUUUUCUUCCACAUGAAGAGUACCAAUGAGAUCCGGAAUGGAAAACUCCUGUCUCUUAUGCUUUAGUAAGGAACCAAGGUUCCUCCAUGAAGGAGGAAGCUUAGUGAUGAUGCCCCCGGCAACAAACUUGUCCAAUAGCAUACAAUUGAAGUUCUCAAGUUCUCUAGCAAAUGACUAUAUCUCAUGAGCUUGUUCAACUAUGGAGCGCUCUUCAGUCAACUUGUAAUCAUAGAGUUGCUCCAUGAUGUACAGCUCAGUACCAGCAUCCGAGACCCCAAACUUGGCCUCGAGUGCGUCCCACACAUCUUUUCCAUUGUCAAUUGACGCAUCAACUAUGUUCUCACCAAGAACACUUAAGAGAGCAGCCUUAAACAGAGUAUCCAUUUUCUGAAAAGCUUGUUCCUGUUGGGCAUCAUGCUCCCCUUCAGGUUUGCCAGGAGUGGCGUCAUAGCAACUCAUGGUUUGAACCAUAAGACUGCUCUCAUGCGCCACCUCUUAUAGUGGAUACCCUCAAACAUAGGAGGUCUCAUGGAAGCAGCAAAACCACUUGGUUUAAAUUGCCUAUAAUAAGGUUUUUGGAUUGUUGGAAAUAUGAGCAAUUUACUGAAUGAUUUUAUUAAAAGAAAUACUAGAUAAAGCACGACUAGUAUAGCAGUGAUAAAACAAGUCAUGCGAUUUGACAAAGAGAAGGUAAACAACAUCUUCAUAUAUGAACUAUAACUAAACACAUCUAGAGCAGACAGUAUAGCAAGUUGCAUAUAUGAAACAGAGUCUAACAUAUCUAGGGCAAACACUAGAACAAGGAACUGUAGGAGGGCCUCUAAUAGAAAGAGGAAGAACGCGUACGGGACAGCAGCAGCAGAAGCGUUGGACUUGGGGUCGGUGUCCUCUCCAGCCAUGUCGUCGAGGAGGUUGUCGACGUCGAGGAAGAAGUCAUCGUCGGGGAAGUAGUCGUCGGAGUCCGGGGCGCCCGUGAUGAAGAAGUCAGUAGUCGCGCGAAGCGCUCCCCAAAAAUCUUAUCACCCUUCUCCCGUAUAGGACUCAAAGAGGUGUGGUUUCGGAGGCCUACUGUCCCAACCUGCGAUGCACGCCGCAAGCCAAGAUGGGGAAGAACGUAGCAGCAUCGCUGUGAUCGGGAACUUGUGGCGAGAGGAAGAAGAGGUUCUGGUGCGUCUCUCUGAGAGGAGCAACCUCCCUUUUAUAGGCGCAAGAGAAGGAGGCGAGAGGCUGCGCCGGGAGCUUAAGAGAACGAGGGAGACGAAACGAAUAGGCAGCAGGCGAAGAGGUGCACCGUUCGCAUUAAAUCUCCACUACAGCAAAAAUCCCGUCAUGCGUGGCAAAAAUUUAGACAUCGGCUCAUUCCCGCAAACCGUGGCGAGGUGGGCGGCGGAGGAGGACCGCGCGUGGAUGUCUCUCUUGUUCUCAUCCUCAUACAUGUGGAGAAAGAGCCUCCCUUAUAAAGAGGUCCAACUCCCUCUAAACUAGCAAUGUGGGACUAAACUUUAGUUCCACCUCUUGCCUCGCACGAAUGGGCUGCGUGGGCUUCUAGAAUUUAUUAGUAAUUUCUGAACUUGCUAUUGGGCUAGGCCCAAAAUAGAUAAAAUUCCAGCGAGAUCUAGGCUCUGCAAGCUUUUUCACACGUUGCGCAGAAAUUUGUUCCUCAUAUAGUCAUUGUUCGAUGAAUUGUUUUUAUCAUUAUAAAUAACUUUAUGUUACUAUUAUUCAUUCAUUUUUUUCUCUAAAGCUCACAUACUCUAUUUUUAAUAUUUGAGGAGCUUUAAGUCCACGUUAUACACGUCUACACUACAUUUGACAAGUGGAAGUUUGUUCUUGCAGCAAUUAAAUGCCUCGGAGCUCUUCAAGAUUGGUGCAAACAAAUAUUAAACGAGCAUAGAAGCACUCAUCUGGGCUAAUUUAAAAAAACAUACUUCUCUUGCAUUAUCCGGUUAACAUUGUAACAUGAAUUCUUGAAUAUAUCCCAACCAAAUGCGAAAAGAAUGUAAUGCCUCUCUCACUACCUUUGCAGUUAAGCAUUUUUCAUACGAAGGGCCGGUGACUGCAUACGCAACAAUAAAGGAAGCGUGCACAUAUUAUAUCCUACUCUCCGAUCUCUUCGCCGAUGCAGUCAGCACACUUGAAUUCUUUGAGAUGUUUUGCUUCAGUGGCAGUUAUGUUCACAUAUUUGCCAUGGAACCACUGGUCACAUAUGUCACAGCACAUCCAAAAGGCGUUGGCAUGGUACUGAGCACUACAGUUUUCACAAAAGUAUGUAACUUCAUGAUCAUUGUCUUUGUCUUCAGCAGGCUUCCUAGAGUCCUUGUUUGGAGCAGAUAAAUCUUGCAUCGACUCUUGAGAUGGUGGCACGUUCUCUUCAGCAGGUGUGAUAGAGUCAAGCAAGUCUACUGUAAAAAAAAUGCCAGAGAUUGGAUUAUUAGUUUGCGUGUUUGUUUUAGAUUUGGGCAGUACAAUUUUGUCACAUUAGUUAACAGUUUUUUGCAUGAAGCACCCAUGCCAUGCAUAUGGCUGGUGUUGGAGUGGUUCAUACCAUUGGCUGCAGGCUUGGAAUUUCCUGGUGCUUCAAUCCUAUUCCGAGGCAUGAUAAAUAUGCAGAUCUCUAUUUUUGCUAAAAUUAUACACAUCUCUCUACUUUUGGUGAAUUUAAAAAAUUAAGCUGGCCCUCUCUAUAUCUUCCAUGAAAAAGAUCGCAUGUGCGCACACAAGUAUAUAUGUUUAUAUACACUGUGCAUUGCCAGUGGAAAAUAGCUAGAAUCCAUAUUCGAAACAAUUUUUUUUAAAUUUGAUCAUUACUAAAAUAAAUAGAAAACUAUGUCAUUUAUCUGAUGAAGUUUAGUGAAAAAAUAUGUAUGUAAUAUAUGCGGCUUAAAAAUUACAAAUAUUUCAAAAUAGAAUACAGUGCAUGGAUACUCUUCAUUGCCAGGAGAAAAUGAAUGCCCUCAUGUACUCAUAUAAAAUUAAUGCAUGAUCAAAUCCUAGAAAAUAUAUGGUCUAAAGAAGAUGAAGGUUUUGUGGGCGACAAGUGUCCAAUGUCUGUAAUAAACUUAAGACCAAACCCCAUCAUAUUUCUUUAGGAUAUAAAAGGACACAAAAUUAUACUCCAUCCGUUCCAAAAUAUAGUGCUUCCUCUAUUCCCGUAUUUCAACUCACUGGUAGAAAAAGAGCCUGUUGUCCCGGUUCGUAAGGGCCUUUUGUCCCGGUUCUGGAACCGGGACUAAAGGGUCGGUACUAAUGCCCUGUCCCUUUAGUCCCGGUUCAAUCCAGAACCGGGACAGAUGAGCCUCCACGUGGCCUGUGCGCGGAGCCCAGGCAGGAGACCCUUUGGUCCCGGUUGGUGGCACCAACCGGGACCAAUAGGCAUCCACGCGUCAGCAUUUCUGUGGUUGGGGUUUUUGUUUUUUUAAAGGGGGGGGGUUUGGGGGUUUUGGGGGGUUAAUUUAGGUGUUUCAUAUAUUGUGUUAGCUAGCUAUAAUUAAUAGAGAGAAGUGUCAUUUCUUAUGUCUGUGCUUGGUCGACGCUACGUACUAUACAUACGUAUAGAGAGGACUAGACACGCUAGUUAGCUAGUAAGCAAACCAAGGAAACAGAAGAUCGUCAUGAACAUAUAUGCAUACAGAGAGAAGUAAUAUCGACCACCUCUCCAUCUCCGAGAGAUUGGUCGAACAACAAGUUCUCGUAUAUCUAUCCGACACUACCGGCUACAUAUAUACAAUAAUUAUCUCUUACAAAUAUAAUCAUACGGAUUUAGGGUCCACAUAGUAUUCUCCGUCUUCAGGGAUCACGUGGUCAAGAAAGAAUGCCGUCAAUUCCUCUUGAAUUGCUCGCAUGCGAGCUGGUGCUAGGAGUUCAUCCCACUUCCGAAACAUCUAAUUUAAAGAAGGGGGUCAAUACAUAUAUAUAUGAAUGAAUGAAACUCAACACAAAUGAUGGUAAUAAAAUAAAAUUGUGAAUGUUGUUAUUUACGUACUUCAUAUUGUUCGUCAGUGUAGCCCCGCUCACAGAUCGUGUGGCGGAUGGACUCGCAAACGUAGUAUCCACAGAAAUCAUUCCCUUGUUCCUGCCAUAACCACUUUACAAGAAAUAGAGGUCAAUCAAACUGAUAAGCAAGAAAUAGAGGUCAAUCAAAUGGUAUUGAUGAAACUAGCGCUUGAAUGACUAGUAGAUGCGCGGAACAUGCUACUAUAGUACUUACUUUCGGGUGUCUAAAUUGCAGCUUCUUCGGCAGUCCCGGAGCUUUUCUGGUGAAUUUUCUCCAAACCCUGCCGGACAAAGAAAACAAUUACUUGAUAUAUCAGGAAAUGAACAAAGUUGCUGAUAUGGUGGAUAAUGAUUGAUUUAACUUACUUCUUGAGUAUUUGAGUCAUGUCUGCAUAGUCCUGGGGAUCUUUUCGUCUUGAGUCUAAGACGGUUACUAGUCCCUGCUCAAGCUUAAUCUCUAGCAGAAUAUAGUGGAAACAGCACACGCAUGCAUAACUCAUCAAUUACAUUACUAUAACCAUGACUAAUAUAUAAGGGAAACCGAAUACGCAUAAGACAGUAACACUCACUUGAAGUUGUAAGGAAAGAGUAUUAUAUCUUUGUUUUCAUUUAUUACCAACGAUCGUAGCAAGUUGGCCUCGGUAGCUGCGGCAUGAAAUUUAACCUGAGUUGCAUCUAUGAGAUAUGUGUUAAUGAACCCAAUAUCACCAACUUGUCUUUUCUUCAAUUCGGUGAUCUUCAAUCUGCAUAAUAUAGUGAGGAUGAUUAUAAAUACAUGCAAUGAAAGAGCUGAGCUAUAUAGAGAGACUUAAUGACAGAAAUAGUACUACUUACAGACAGUAGCAGGCGACCGUUGUUUUAUCGAGGGCCAAUUGAUUGAAAAACUGAUAGAACUCCUCAAAUGGAACAGGCAACAGUUCAAUUCCAAUGAGGUCAUGCUCCUUUUUUACUUUCACAUAAAAGUACUCAUCCCCCCAGAGUCUCUGUAGAUUUUCAAGUACCAAUCAUGCAAUCUUCGCAUCAUCGUUGAUAGAGAUCUUUCAUCUUUGACGAGAGGCUUCCCGUACUCGUAUCUUUGUAUCGGGACCUCCAUGGGUUCAUAAUGUACAUCGUCGGGCAGGUAAUCUGCAAGAUUGCUAUAACCGGGCACCAUCUUCGGAUCAUUAGCGACGUUGUGGCUAGGCACCUUGAGCGGGGGACAUGAUUGCUUCGCUUGUUCGCCGAGCUGGGCAAUUUGUUUCCCAGCUCGUCGUUCUUUCAGCCUUUGAUCACUGACAGUACUUCCCGACCGCUCUGCUUCGGCAAAUUCCUUUCCAAUAAUGCGCUCAUAGUUUCCCUUCGGCGGAGACUUGGGUGGUUUUGUCAGGGCAGCCAGAGUGCGCUUCGCUUUCACCGGAUCUACCUUCUCCUCCGGAAGUGGAUUUCUCUUUGCUUUCAACCCUUGAAACCAGUCAUCCACUUCGGUUCGUGCGAUCUCGGCGUUCUCCUCCGGGGUCCUCUCGUAUGGUAACUUCUCUGGAGUCUUCAGAGAAGGACCGAAUCUGUAUGUCCUCCCGCCUCUGGCUGUACUGCUAGACGUCGGGCGAGCAGACUGAGCGGUUGUCUUCUUUACUUGCUUACGAGGCGGAGGAGAAGGACUAUGACGCGCCGGAGCAGCCGGAGCAGCGGCAGGUCUCUUCCGCCCUUGCUGACGAGGCGGAGAAGGAGGAGGCUGGCUGCUCGGGCGCGUCGGCGCAGGCGGAGAAGGAGGCGGAGUGCCACCACGCGCUGGAGAAGGAGCCGGUCAAGUGCCCUGAUUGUCACUCGCCGGAGGAGGAGGCGGUGGAGGAGGCGGAGUGACCUGACUCACCGGAGGAGGAGGCGGUGGAGGAGGUGGAGUGCCCUGACUCGCCGGAGGAGGAGGCGGUGGAGGAGGCGGAGUGCCCUGACUUGCCAGAGGAGGAGGAGGAGGCGGAGGCGUCCAGUUCGGAAGGUUGAUGAGCUCCUUCCGCCAUAGGCAUGGAGUCUUCAGAGCAGACCCCAGCCUAGUUUCCCCUUCAUCAGUAGGGUGGUCAAGCUGGAGGUCCUCAAAUCCCUCCGUUAUUUCAUCCACCAUCACCCUAGCAUAUCCUUCUGGAAUCGGCCGGCAGUGAAAAGUUGCGUCGGGUUCAGUAGGAUAAACAGAGCCAACAGCCGCCUUGACCUUCAAAUUCAUCCAUUGCGUCAUAAGGUGGCAAUUUUGAGACUCCGUGAUAGCAUCCACGGGAUAGCUGGCAGGAGCCGUCAAGGCACGCUCCGGCUGAAGCAACUCGGUGGAAGCCAUGCUGCUUCUCCGCUGAGAUGGCGGGGUAGCUUCGGGGGAAGCUUCGGCAGUACGUUUGCUGCGAUUUGCUUCUCGUAUCUCUAUCGCUUGUACCCUUGUUUGCAGCGCCUGCAUUUGGGUCUGCUGCACUUUUUUCCUCCUCUCAUGAGAUUUGUAACCGCCUGCGUCCGGAAACCCAACCUUCCACGGAAUGGAGCCUGGCGUGCCUCAUGUCCGUCCAGGGUGCUCAAGAUUCCCGAGGGCCAUUGUGAGCUCAUCAUUCUCUCUGUCUGGAAAGAACGUCCCUUGCUGCGCUGCUUCGAUAUAGUACUGAAGCUUCCUGACUGGUAUGUCCAUUUGAUCGUUCGUCCAAAUGCACUUCCCUGUUACAGGGUCCAAGGUUCCGCCAGCCCCGAAGAACCAAGUCCGGCAAUGGUCUGGCCAGUUAAUUGUCUCUGGUUCGAUCCCUUUAUCAACUAGAUCAUUCUCAGUCUUGGCCCACUUAGGCCGGGCUACGAGGUAGCCACCUGACCCCGUGCGAUGGUGAUGCUUCUUCUUCGCAGCAUUUUGAUUGUUUGUCACCGACAUCUUCUUACUCUUUUCCGAUGUCUUGUGGGCCACAAAUGCGGGCCAGUGAUCUCUGAUCUUCUCAUAUCUGCCCUUGAAUUUUGGUGUCUCAUUAUUUUUGACAAACUUAUUCAGCUCUUUCUUCCACCUCCAGAAUAGUUCUGCCAUCCUCUUAAGAGCAAAAGACUUGAUUAAUUGCUCUUUAACUGGCUUCUCUGGAUUAUCCUCUGGCGGUAGGGUGAAAUUUGACUUCAGCUCAGUCCAAAGAUCAUUUUUCUGCAUAUCAUUGACAUAAGACACCUCGGGGUCUUUUGUAUCCGGCUUAAACCAUUGCUGGAUGCUGAUCGGGAUCUUGUCCCUAACCAAAACCCCGCACUGAGCAACAAAUGCACUCUUUGUCCGGAGGGGUUCAAUCGGUUGGCCAUCGGGUGCGAUUGCUAUGAUCUCAAACUUUUCAUCCGAGCUCAAUUUUUUCUUCGGGCCUCGUCUCUUUACCGAAGUUGUGCUCGAUCCGGAGGGCUAGAAAAAAGAACAAAGACUUAAUUAAUAUGUGUACAUACCAAAACAAUGAAUGCAUCAAUUAGCUAGUCAGCAGAAGCUUAACUAAUAUAUAUACCUGGCCGGACUCGGUUCGGUCACCGGAGACGUCAUCAUGGUCUCCUUCUUGCACCGGCAUUGGGUCACCGAAGCCGUCCUCACGGUCUCCUUCUUGCACCGGCAUUAGGUCACCGGAGCCAUCAUAAUCAGCUGCUUCCAGACCAUCGGUCUCGUAGAGAAACAACAAGCAAAUGGCAUCACUUCCUCGUGCGAUUAUGUCCCCCAACAACUCUUCUUGUACUUCGUCUCGGGCGGUGUCCAUAGUUUCUACAAAUAUUGACAACAUGGCAAUUAUUAUUCAAACAUGACAGAUGGAUAUAUUAGUCGCAAAAACGUAGAACUAAUAUUAAUUAGUGGCCUUGAUGCUCCUUCUCUAGGGUUUGGGGUAGCCUCGACACUGCUUCUCUAGGGUUUGGGGUGGCCUCGACAAUGCUUCAAGGAUAAAAAAAGAGAGGAAGAAGAAAAAAAAGAGGAGAAGAAAGAAUAGAGGAGUAAGAACUCCUCUAUUCUUUCUUCUCAAGAACUCCUCUAUUCUUUCUUCUCCUCUUUUUUUUCUUCUUCUUCCUCUUUUUUUUAUCGGGAACGAGGGUCGUCGAGGGUCAUCGAGCGAUAGAGGAAACCCUAAAUAGCAAGUAUCGUGGGUGUGAGAUACAUGUGGCCGUCGGUGUCGGACACUACAUCCACGUCCCACAAGUGACGUGGGCGUCGAAGCCCGUGCCACUNNNNNNNNNNNNNNNNNNNNNNNNNNNNNNNNNNNNNNNNNNNNNNNNNNNNNNNNNNNNNNNNNNNNNNNNNNNNNNNNNNNNNNNNNNNNNNNNNNNNNNNNNNNNNNNNNNNNNNNNNNNNNNNNNNNNNNNNNNNNNNNNNNNNNNNNNNNNNNNNNNNNNNNNNNNNNNNNNNNNNNNNNNNNNNNNNNNNNNNNNNNNNNNNNNNNNNNNNNNNNNNNNNNNNNNNNNNNNNNNNNNNNNNNNNNNNNNNNNNNNNNNNNNNNNNNNNNNNNNNNNNNNNNNNNNNNNNNNNNNNNNNNNNNNNNNNNNNNNNNNNNNNNNNNNNNNNNNNNNNNNNNNNNNNNNNNNNNNNNNNNNNNNNNNNNNNNNNNNNNNNNNNNNNNNNNNNNNNNNNNNNNNNNNNNNNNNNNNNNNNNNNNNNNNNNNNNNNNNNNNNNNNNNNCUUCUUCUCUUUUUUUCCUUCUUCUUCCUCUUUAUUUUAUCGAAAACGAGGGUUGUCGAGGGUCAGGGUCGCCGAACGGUAGAGGAAACCCUAAAUAGCAAGUAUCGUGGGUGUGAGAUACAUGUGGCCGUCGGUGUAGGACACUACAUCCACGUCCCACAAGGGACGUGGGCGUCGAAGCCCGCGCCACUUGUGGGACGUGGAUGUAGUGUCCGACACCGACGGUACAUGUAUCUCACACCGACGAUACUUUCUAUUUAGGGUUUCUCCUCUACCGCUCGGUGACCCUCGACGACCCUCGUUCCCGAUAAAAUAAAGAGGAAGAAGAAGAAAAAAAAGAGGAGAAGAAAGAAUAGAGGAGAAGAACUCCUCUAUUCUUUCUUCUCCUCUUUUUUUUUCUUCUCCUCUAUUCUUUCUUCUCCUCUUUUUUUUUCUUCCUCUUCUUUUUUAUCCUCUUCUUCCUCUCAUGUUCGAGAGGAUCGCCGAGGGGUCGGGAGGUUGCCUAGUGUCAAAGAAUUCAACAAAACCAUGUCUUCAUCAUUAGGCGAAAGUAACAGGUGCAUGAUGGUACGAAGCUCUCCAAAGUUAUUUUGGAAUGGAGUCCCAGAUAAGAUAAUUCGCUUUUUGGUUCAAAGUUCAGCAAGAACCUUCCAAAUAUCGUUAUUUGGAAGGCCUUUGCUGAAAUUCAUACAAAAAGGCAGAUUAUCCUAUCCGGGACACCAUUCCAAAAUAACUUUGUAGGACUUCGUCAUGCCCUGGUUACUUCCGGCUAAUGAUGAAGCCAUGGAUUUCUUCAAUACUUUAACACUAGGAAACCUCUCUCGACCCCUCGGCGAUCCUCGACCCCUCGAACCCUCGACGACCCUGGACCCCUCGACCCCUCGAACCCUCGACGACCCUAGACCCCCUCUCGACCCCCUCAUGUCGAAGUUAUCGGGUAGGGGGUAUAUCGACAACGACAUACCCAAUACAUGCAUACAUACAUACAUAUCACAUGCAUCCAUACAUAUAUGAACAAAAUUAAUAUCUACUAAUUAACAACCUAAAUAAAAAAACUAAUACAUAUAGGAAGAAGAAGAAAGAAUAGAGGAGAAGACUUCCUCUUCUUCCUCUCCUCUUCUUCUCCCUCUUCUUCUCCCUCUUCUUCCCCUUCUUCCCUCGACACCCUAAACUAGUUCUCAACCCUCGACCCCCUAAACUAGUUCUCAACCCUCGACCCCCUAAACUAGUUCUCGACCCCCCUCAUGUCAAAAUUAUCAGGGAGGGGGUAUAUCGACCCCCCCUCAUGUCGAAGUUAUCGGGGAGGGUUAUAUCGACCCCCCCUCCUGUCGAAGUUAACGGGGAGGGGGUAUAUCGACAAUGACAUGCAUACAUGGAAAAAAUGCUAUCCAUCUAUACAUACAUAGCCACAUACAUAUAUACAUGAAAAUAAUGUUAUGAAAAAAAUACGAACAAAAAAAUGCUAUGAACAAAAAAAUAAUACACAUAAACAAAAAAAUACAUAUAUGAACAAAAAAUGCUAUGAACAAAAAAAUUACACAUAUAUGAACAUCUAUACAUACACAUAGCCACAUACAUAUAUACAUUAUAUAUACGUACAAAAAAAUGAAAAAAAUGAUAAACAGGUGGCGGCGGCUCAGAGCAGCGAGGUUGACUGGCGAGGGCGAGGGCGGGGGCAGCAAGGGCGGCGGCGAGGGCGGCGGCGAGGGCGUCGGANNNNNNNNNNNNNNNNNNNNNNNNNNNNNNNNNNNNNNNNNNNNNNNNNNNNNNNNNNNNNNNNNNNNNNNNNNNNNNNNNNNNNNNNNNNNNNNNNNNNNNNNNNNNNNNNNNNNNNNNNNNNNNNNNNNNNNNNNNNNNNNNNNNNNNNNNNNNNNNNNNNNNNNNNNNNNNNNNNNNNNNNNNNNNNNNNNNNNNNNNNNNNNNNNNNNNNNNNNNNNNNNNNNNNNNNNNNNNNNNNNNNNNNNNNNNNNNNNNNNNNNNNNNNNNNNNNNNNNNNNNNNNNNNNNNNNNNNNNNNNNNNNNNNNNNNNNNNNNGGGCUCGGGGACGACAGCGAGAUCGGGGGCGGCGCGGGCUUGGGGACGACGGCGAGCUCGAGUGGCUGCGCGGGCUCGAGGGCGGCAAGGGCUCGAGGGCGGCAAGGGCUCGAGGAGCGGGCGGCGGCGACGAGGAGCGGGCGGUGACGGCGACGGCGACCUCGGGGCGGCGACGGCGAGCACGGGCAGCCUGGCGGCGUCGUCGGGGCGGGAUCGAAGAAACUGAACCAAAAUUUUCACAAGUGUGGCUUAUAUAGACGGAGUAUUGGUCAUGGUUCGUGGCACAAACCGUGACCAAUGCCCCCCUUUAGUCCCGAUUGGUGGCACCAGCCGAGACCAAAGGCCUCUUUUCAGCAGCCCAAAGGGCGGGAAGCGGCGGCCUUUGGUCUCGGUUGGUGGCAGCAACCGGGACUAAAGGGGGCAUUAGUUACGGUUUGUGCCACGAACCGUGAUCAAUGGCCCCCUUUAGUCCCGGUUAGUGCCACCAACCGGGACCAAAGGCCUUGUGCGGCUACUGCGUCGAAAGUUUAGUCCUACCUCGCUAGUUGAGAGGGGUGCGCAGUGGUUUAUAAGCCCCACUGCCGCACCCCUCUUGAGCUCCUCUCCAUUGCAGGCUUACGGGUCUAGUUGUCACUGCUAUGCCUGUGGGCCUACUGGGCCUCCUACGGGCCUGAAUCCUGGCCCUUGGAUGGGUUUCUAGUCGUAUUUAGGCCGUGGGGGCCCAGUAGGUGGCAUUUUUUGUUUUUUUGUUGCUUUAUUUAUUUUCUUUUCUUUUUUGCUUUAUUUUUUUAUUCUUUAUGCUUUUAGUUUUAGAAAAAUUAUAAACUUUUUGUUAAUGUCAUCAUCAUCAUCGGGCACAUCGUCUAGUUCCUCUUGAUCUUCAGCAGCUUCACCCGUUGCAGCAUCAUUGGGCACAUCGUCUGGUUCCUCUUGAUCUUCACCAGCUCCCCCCGUUGCAGCACCACCGUAUUCAGGGGGUACAUAGUUGUCAUCGUACUCUUCUUCUUCGUCGUCUUCCAUCAUCACCCAUAUUUCUCCGUGCCUCGUCCAAACAUUAUAGUGUGGCAUAAAACCCUUGUAAAGCAGGUGGGAGUGAAGGAUUUUCCGGUUAGAGUAAGACCUCGUAUUCCCACAUUCAGUGCAUGGACAACACAUAAAACCAUUCUUCUUGUUUGCCUCAGUCGCAUCGAGAAACUCAUGCACGCCCUUAAUGUACUCGCGGGUGUGUCUGUCACCGUACAUCCAUUGCCGGUUCAUCUGCGUGCAUUAUAUAUAAUUAAGUGUCCAAAUUAAUAGAAGUUCAUCAUCACAUUAAAACCAAAGUGCAUACAUAGUUCUCAUCUAACAACAUAUAGCUCUCCAGAGCAUCUAAUUAAUUAAACCAUACAUUGAAACUAUGUAAAACAUUUCAAUGCGAAAAAAAAUGCGAUCAUAAUAGCAACCAAGGUAACAAUUGAUCCAACGGCAUAAUGAUACCAAGCCUCGGUAUGAAUGGCAUAUUUUCUAAUCUUUCUAAUCUUCAAGCGCAUUGCAUCCAUCUUGAUCUUGUGAUCAUCGACGACAUCCGCAACAUGCAACUCCAAUAUCAUCUUCUCCUCCUCAAUUUUUUUUAUUUUUCCCUUCAACAAAUUGUUUUCUUCUUCAACUAAAUUUAACCUCUCGACAAUAGGGUCGGUUGGCAUUUCCGAUUCACAUACAUCCUACAUAAAUAAAAUCUAUGUCACGUUGGUCGGCAUAAUUUGCAUAAACAAUAAAUGAACCAAUAGUUAUAAAGAUAAUAUAUAUACCACAUCCGAAUCAUAGACAGGACGAGGGCCGACGGGGGCGGAUACCAAAACCAUCGUAGUAUAUAAGAUGCAAUAAUAAAAGUAAGAAAAUAAUACAAGUAUCUAUGUAAACAUACAAGUAAGAAUAUGUUUCCUUUCAGAAAGAAGAUAAAACAAGAGGCUCACCACAGUGGUGCCGGCGAUGAGCUCGGCGCGGGUGAUCGACGGCGGUGAAGACGGGGACGGGGCGCGACGGACCGCUAAACCUAGACAAAUAUUAUGGAAAAUGGAGCUUGGAGGUCGAGUUUGGAGAGGAGAAAGCUUAAGUAGUGUGGCUCGGGCAUUCCAUCGAACACCUUGUGUGCAUAGGAGGUGAGCUACAGCACCACCAAGCCCUCUCCCCCUCGGCCAGAGAAAAACAGAGCGCUGGGGUGCUCUGCUCGCGAGCGAGGGGUAUAUAUAGGCACCUCAUUGGUCCCGGUUGGUGACAUGAGCCGGAACUAAAGGGGAGCCUUUGGUCCCGGUUCAAGCCACCAACCGGGACCAAUGGUGGUGGGCCAGGAGCGAGGCCCAUUGGUCCCGGUUCAUCGCACCAACCGGGACCAAAAGGUCCAGAUGAACCGGGACCAAUGGCCCACGUGGCCCGGCCGGCCCCCUGGGCUCACGAACCGGGACCAAUGCCCACAUUCGUCCCAGUUCUGGACUGAACCGGGACUAAUGGGCUGAUCCGGCCUGGACCAAAGCCCUGUUUUCUACUAGUGACUUUGAACAUAAAAUUAGCCAACAAGACCGACUGCGGCAGGAGCAAAAGUUAUACCAGUGAAUUUGUAUUCAAAAGAAGUUUUUAAUUAUAUAAUUUUUUUCUCCCUCCGCAGUCGGUCUCAUUGGUUAAAUUUAUGAACAAAGUUAGACCAAGGGAAGCGCGGGCGCACUAUAUUUUAAAACGGAGGGAGUACAUCCACCAAAGAAUUUCGCGUUUGCAAUACUGUAGCCCACCAGUACACAUGCAACCUUCAUAAAAUUGCUACCAUGUUACAUCUUCUAUCAAUUUUGAGUUAUUGGGGGCAUAGCACACCAAGAAUAUAUAUCACGCGCAUUGAUUUUACACACUAGUCAAUUGGAAAAGUCUAUGCACGCAAAACAUACUACCACUAAUGCAGAGAGUUGUUUAUAACUCUAUACUCUUUGUCCUUUGUCUAAUACAAAAAUAAACAUGGUUGCAUAUCAGAAAAUAACAUUUUUCUUCCGGAGAAAUAUGUUUGAAAGUAAGUGAUCAGACUACCAGCCUAAAUUCCCCUGUGUUUCAAUACAGAACUUCACUAGCUAGGCCGUGCAACAGCAGUGGAUUGAUGACUAGCUUUUCUUCGUGAAAAAAACGGAUCUGAGAGUUCAUGUCAGCCGGAUUUACAAUUUUGUAAUUAAAAAUGGAUCUAAAAUUUUAGGGACAGCAGGAUCUAAAAAAUACGGCCACAAAUGCCCGUAGUUGUCUAACUCAAUACUUUUUCCUAUGUCUAAUAAGAAAUAAAGACCAUUAUAUGUUUCAAAGCAACUGAUCAAACUAUCAGUCCAAGUUUAAUUAAAUAAAGAACUUCACUAGCCCGUGCAAUAACGGGAUUGAUGACUUGUUUUUCUUAGUACAAAAUGGAUCUGAGAUUUCAUGUCAGAUGAAACUAUCAGCCUAUCCCUAAUACUAAAAUAAACACCGGAUCUGAAGUUCUUUUUCCUAUGUCUAAUACAAAAAUAAACAAGGUCAUAUGUUUAAAAGUAACUGACAAAACUAUCAUCCUAAGUUUCCCCAUGAUUGAGUGCAAAACUUCACUAGGCCGUGCAAACACGGGAUUGAUGACUAGUUUUUCUUAAUAAAAAAUGGAUCUGAAUUUUCAUGUCAGAUGAAACUAUCAGCCUCUGCCUAAUACGGGAUCUAAAGAUUUUUUUUCCUAUGUCUAAUAGAAAAAUAAACUCGCUUAUAUGUUUAAAAGUAACUGACCAAACUAUCAGCCAAAGUUUCCCCAUGUUUCAAUACAGAACUCCACUAUCCCGUGCAACAGCACGGAACUGAUGACUAGUUUUUCUUAAUAAAAAAUGGAUCUGGAAUUUCUUGUCAGCCGGAUUUACAAUUUUGUAACAAGCAAUGGAUAGAACAUUUCUGGGACAGUUGGAUCUCUAUAUUACAUACCUUCCUCGCGCAAUAAAUCAUAUAAUGUAUCCUGAUCUGCGUGUAUGGCAACAAGGAGGAGAAGAGAUCGGUGUUUGCACGGACUUGGACAAGCGCGCUGGGGCGGCCAGAGAAGUCCUCAUAGAUGUUCUCCACGGUCCAUGAGACGGCCGGGCGGGACCGCCAUUCACCAGGGUGUGCCCAUGAACGGGAACGGUGAGACAACGCCUGGAGGGAGUGGGGUUGGAGGAGGAGCCGUCGCGAGAUGCGUCCAUGGGAUGAGAUUCGUGCUAGGUUCGCCGGCAGCUGGCUGGCAGAGAUAGGCGGAGCUCUUGAAGGAGGAAGGUGGAAUUGGAUCUAUGGGAGCACCCUGUUGCUUCGCUGCUUUAUAAAGAGCGGGCGGCGUCAAGAGGAUGGAAGACUGGGGAACGGAGGCCGCGGGCGGGUUACUACUUUUCUUUCGAGUCUCUGGCGAGAUGUAUUUGUUUUCUUUCAUUUCCUACCAAGUUUUUGGCCACGCCGGCGAGGUCCUAAGGCUACUGGCGUGUGGUCCCUGGAUCAGCAGUCCAGAAUACACGGUACUCUUUUGUUUCCCUCAUUAAUUUCAUUUGUUUUUUCAAAGGCAUUUAUUUCCUUCGUAGUGUAGAAAGUACACGGCAUGAUGUUCUCCCACGGUUCUGAAAUGCAUGAUGUUUUAGUCAUGCAGUUUCUAAGAUGAAACUUUGAUGAUUACUAGCACAAAUGCCCGUGCGUUGCAACGGAAGAAAACACCGGUUCCUAUGAACCACGGUUGGCCGAGUUAAGAAAUUGUGUCGUAGGACAACAGUCGCUCAUGAGAAAAAAGAUGGAUCAUCUGAGAAUUGCAACGUGAGCUCAUGACAUGGGGCAUGUAUGAUUCCGGGUAAAUUUAUGUUCCCAAACUGAAAAAUUUACCAAUAUCAAUAGUAUUAAGUAAUAGCAGCACCAAGCAAACCAUCCUAGAAUAACAAUUGCAGCAGCAGGCAACUCCAGACAUCAUUUAAUUUAGUCCAUUUAGCUCUGUGGGUGGAGAGGGAUGGGCGUGCUGAGGAGUUUGACCAGGGGCCUUCGACUUUGGAGCAUAUUCUUUGAGAGUUAAGUAACUUUGGAGCAAAGGAGCCCGUGCAUUGUAACAUGGAUAAUACAUAUCUCUCUCCCUCCAUCCUCCUUCAGGUGUUGAUGCUCUCGAUCUUGCGCGUAGUGUUAGAGCUUGAUGCUCCUCUACAUGGCAGCACUCAUAUUGUUACAUCAAUCAAUGUAAAUAAUUAAGGAGCAUCAUCAUAAAAAUUCAACCGAAAUGUUACAAAAUAAUUUAAAACACCAUGAUUUUCCUUUUUCUUUGUGUCUCGAGAAUCCAAGAUUUGUCAUAUAAAGAACUGGGUACGUUCCGGAUUUUGGAGAUUAAAUUUAACUUCUACUUCUCUUAAUUAUCCAACCAAGUGAAAAUGGAUCUCUCCAAAGUUGUUUAUAGCAAUAAUUUAUGCAAACAUGUGCCCACUGUUCUCUCAGAUAAAUUCAACAAUAUCAUUUAGACAUGUAGAUCCAUAUUGAUGCUAACAAUUCUAUCAACCUAACACUGUCUAUACACCCCUUAUGUUGUACAUUGUGCUACUAUAAAUUCUCUCGGGAAAAUGCAAUGCAUCCCGCUUCCAGAUGGUUCGUUUAGCUCUUUAUAGCAGAUGGCCAAAUUUGGUUGGAUUAUUUUAUUAGCAGUUAGAAGUAGACUAAAUCAUGAAAAUCAACAAUGUUCUUAAUCGAAGAAGAAUUGACGAGGUAAGUACUAAAUUACUAACCUUCACAAAAUAGUUUUAAAUAGCGCGCUAAGCCUCUUAGCGGUGAACCUCUUCUAAACGCUAUAGCGUGCUAUAGCGGAGCUAUAGCGCGCUAUUUAAAAUGUUUGUUCAUUUGUUUGGACCAAUGUCUCUUAGCGCAAGACCUUCUGUAAAUGCUAUAGCGUGCUAUAGCGGAGCUAUAGCGGGCUAUUUAAAACGAUUCUCCGUGCCAAUAAAAUCACUAUAUGACCUUCAAAGAAGCUGGGAGUUAGGGCAUCUCCAGCCAGGCCCUCAAGAAGCCUGCCCAGGCGCAUUUUUAGACGCCGGCGAGUAAAAAUCCUUCCAGCCGCAAUCCCAGAGUCACGUUUUUCGCCGGAUCUGACGAAAAUCACGGCCGGCGCUCGCGAUGGAAACUCAGUAAACCGGGAUGCAGCUGGGGGCGCCGGCGCUAUAUUUUAGCCGCGAAAGGCCCACUGCCAGCCUCUAAUCUCUCUCUCCUUUUUCUAGCUAGACCCACCACGUGAGGCAUGCAAAAAAAGACAACACGGAGAAGCCGCAAGCGGCCGGCCCCGGAGUCCGUCGCUGGCCCCGCGCCGCGCCUCCCUGGAGCAGCUUCACACCGCCGGCCCUGCGCCGCGCCUCCCCGGAGAAGCUUCACGCCGCCGGCCCGGUCGCCGGUAGCCAGCCCCCGCAGGCCUCCGUGCGCUACCGAGCCCGUCACCGGAGCAGCUCUCUCCUCCACGGGCGGCCCCGGCAUCGGGCGCGCCGGCCAUGGGCGGCCCCGGCCCCAAGCAUGCCGACCACAGCCGGCCCCGAGCGGCCCCGGCCCGGAGCCACGCACCGUUGGGCGCAACCCUGAGCCUCAAACGGGCACGGCACGGCUGGCGGCGGCCAGCGGGGAGCCGGGGCGGGCACGGGCGAGAUGGGCGGACGGGGGCGGCGCGGCCUGGCCUCGUGAAGCUGUCCGACUCAGGGCGCAGGGCCAUGGCUUCCGGACCUGGCGCAGGGCGCGUGCGUCGCGCUGGAGCGCAUCCACCAUGCGCCAUGCCACCGUCCAGUAGUUGGAGCACGGAGGCAAAGAAGACGCGGAGACGGUGGCGACGCCAUCCACGCGGAGGCCACGGCGGUGCGCGAGCUCCUCCUGGCAUCGCUGGCCGCGGCGGGGCACUGGGCGUCGGUGCUCUUCCUCGCUGCGCGCCACGCGCUCGUGAACCUUCGAGCUGCCGCCACGCGUCCUGCUCGUCGAGGUGCAGAGAUGCUUGGGGUGGAGACGGCUGGAAAAAUUUGCCACCCAGACUAAAAAAAUCUGCCGGUGCCUCCCCAGAAGGCCGAAAAAAUGCCUCCUGGGGGGCACAACGGCUGGAGAUGCCCUUAGCCCACAGGAGGCACGCUACGGCCAUCAUGUGAAGCACAUACACCAAGCGUAUGCCACCACCAUGGAUUCCUCAUGCAAUCAUACCAUGAACAAACUUUGAGCAUCUUCUAUCUCAGACUUAUCUCUGAACAUAGGUGUAACCCAUCCUACCCUACCUCGGCUUUGUGACUUACUGGUUAGCACAAACAAAUCACACUUUAAUUCUCAGAUCACUACAUGCAACGUCAUGUAUGGGAAUCAAUCAAAAAGCACCAUCUGAAAACCAAAGCAAAACUUUAUAGGAUUGGUUAAUAACUUUAUUUCACCAGUCCUAGUCUUCUGAAGCCUGGAGAAGAUUAGCAAGCUAAGAGUCGAAGAGAACGUGAGUAGGAGAUGACAUUGUGCAGAGCGUGCAACUACACGCACGCACGCAGAGAGGGUGCACUUCCAGCUUGAGAGUUGGGGCUAGCUCGACAUCUUCCUGUCAGAUCAAGACAACAAUACAUGCAAGCAGUCGACGCAUAUUACUUGGGGAUCCCUUGGAAUCGGCGGAAACACCAUGCACGUAGGAGGCUGAGGUCUUCGCUCAGCGAAACCGACACCGGCAAUGUGAUCCAAUCGGCGCCGACAAUGUGAUCCGAUCGCCGAAGUUACAGGUAUGAAUUCGCUCUGGCGACUCAACAGGAAAGAUGACCUGUUCAGUUCCUUGAACCUCUGUCACUCGGUUGCUCCUGCGCCUCCACGUGAUCCCAGCCCCUCCUCCCUCUACAGGUCUUUUCCUUGCCUCCACCGUUCUACACACAUGCGUUCUAUACUGCCUUUCCUCCUGUUUGUAACUUUGUAUGCCAUUUAUCUUUCUUGAUUGAUAUAAGCCCGUCCGUUCAAUUUCUGUACGCAUCAGACUGCAAUUCCCUGCCGGCGUAUGCAUAGUUCCAUGCCUGCGCCGGCACAUCCAGAAGUGGCGAUGAACAUGUCAGGAUUAAGAUCGGUGGCCUUUGCUUUCCCCAGGUUUGGUUGGCUGCAUGCUAGGUCCAGCAGAAGAAACAUCGACCAUCUCUCUCAAAUUCGCUGGUGGCAAACCUCUCAGAUCGACCUUGAGUAUUGAUUCCCUGCCGGUGCCAUGGUACGUGAGGCAGGGACGGCAGUCUUUCCACGUGGCCCACGCCGAGAUCGCGGGCGGCGAUUAGUAUGGAUUUCUCCACCGGCGCCAUGAUACUUUACGCCAAGAGGCGACCUCCAGUCAGCAGCCUUGCACCCGACAGAUCUUGUUCCGAUUCAAUUCUCGUGAUGUGAUAUGAGGUGCAAAUCGAUAGGAUUAAUUCAUGUGUGUAGGGCACAUCUAGAGGUGCUCUAGUUAUUGCACAUCUAAAUGAGUGAAUUAAGCAUAAAGAAAAAGAGAAAAAAGAAAAAGAAAAGGAAAAAUCCACACUAAUCUCAAUGUAAGAUCAAUGAUAUAGGACUUAGAUGUGCAAUACUUAUGGCACAUCUAGAUGUGCUUUAGCAAAACUGUUAAUUCAUCUUAUGACAACUGGAUUUGUAUUGAUCUUGCUAGAGGAAAGGCAGGAUUCAUGGAAACGGCAGGUACAUCCAGAUUUUAAGGAGGGAAUCAAGGGAGAUCUUUCCGGUAUUGUUUUCCUUUUUUGUUUCAGUGUAUUCCGGUUUUGUUUCCAACCCGUGCCGUGCGAGAGAGAUGGCAACGAAGUGAUGGGCUGGCUUAGUAGGCCCAAAGGGAGACACGAAGGAUGAAUUGGCCGGCUUCCUGCACGUACGAACAAAAAACCCAUGAAGAUUUCCUUUUCGAUUUGUUCAAUCUAGCAUCAAUCUCAGCCGUCAACGUUUAUGGUUAACACAAAAAUUGACAUCUGACUGUUUUUCAAUUCAAAAACAGUCAAAUUUUCUGUCCAAUCAACAGAUUACACCUGUACUAGCAGGAAAAUCACCAGAAAGCAAAAAACGAACCUCUAAACGGGUUGGGUAAACAUCUUGCCCGUUCGACCUGGACAAACAAACCCCCUCGUCAUCAGGGACCACAAACAACUUGCAACCGCAUUAUGGAAACGCUGCGACAAGCGAAUAGGAACCAGAGGGGACGGUUCUCCAAAAGAAUUAUCGACCUGUUUAACAUUGGGCUCACCAUUGGUAACAUCGCCAUUAGAUUGAACACCAAGAGUGCGAUUUAACUGAGCAAAAGUGGGUCUUUGAAAACCAUUAUCAUCGGCCUUGGGUUCACAUUUCUUAAUAAGACCAGCUACACAAAACACAAAACAAGAGGGUGAGUUACAGAAAUUGUUUCAAAACAAUAUCAAACUAUACCAAGAAAAAUAAAUAAACACACAAAGGACCUAAGGGCUCCAAAGUAGAACCAACAACAGGAAUUGCACACCGCGUCGUUGAAGGGGAUAUACCUACAAAAAGAGAAGAUACAAGCACAGGUGAAGAAAAAAAUAAACAAGACACAAAUAAAAAGGAAAAUGAAGAAUACAAGAAUUUAAAUAAGAGAAAAGAAGAGCUCGGACCUAUAGAAUGAGAAGGACUUUUUAUAGAAGAUAAAUCCGCCACUGGAAUUGCAGCUUCAACAUUUGCCUCAUUUACCACGCCCUGCAAAAGAAAAUAAAAAAAGAUAAAAAUACUAAAUCAUCAAGCGAAUAUAAGACAAAAAAGAAGAAGCACUAAAUACGAAGUGUAUAAUACCUCAUCACACACUUUAGGAGCUGGAGAUGAACUAGAUAAAACUACUGGGUUGUGAAAACCCCCAACACUAACAACACCAGAAACAAAAGGAGAAGCUUCAUUCAAAUUGGGGAUUUGCUGCUGGACUUCAGGAGAUGAUUUCUCAACAACAGUCUCACACUUCCUCUCAUCAAUGAAAGAUUGAAUAGAGAGAGACUUGGCGCCUGCAAAAAGGAUAAAGAAACAACAUGCGAAAGGACAAAAAAGUAAGAUCAUACAAGCAAGAAAUAUAUAAAUCAGAAAAUAAUAACAAAACAGGAAAGAACUUCAAAAAGGAACUAACCAAAAGAGAACUUGUUGAGAGAAUGACCCUCACUUGAAUAAACUUUAGGUGUCAGGACAGAUUUGGCAUUUAGAGUAGAGAGUGAUAAGCAUUCUAGAACGUCAAUUACAAGGGACUGUGACCAUUGUACAAAUAGCUUGGGCUUGUCUUUGUUCCUAGAUUGAACAAGGUUUAUGACUACUUGAGCAGCCUGAAAAAAGUUCAAUAAAACAACACAAUUAAAACAACCAAAGCAACAAAGUGGAAAAAGAGCAGAAAGUACAAACCCAAAACUACACUAACCUCAAACCCAAAACAAGCACCGAAGGAUUUCUGCACAUUCAUUUCAAAAAGCAUGUCACUGCAAAGGGGAACAUCACCAUCUUUGCUUGCUGAAGAUUUCUCGAUAGACUUCUAGAACGAGAAGGAGUAAUUCCAUAUGAGAACAUACUGAAAACAUAAACAAGCAAAAAAAUAAUUAUAAAUUUAAAACAAAAUAACAAAAAUAACAAACCUGUGGAUUAACUGGAGCAAACAACCGCUUUAGAGGCCUCUUGCCAUAAGAGCGGCUAUUGUUUCUGUCAAGCUCUGAAAAUUGCUUAACUUUGUUACCUCUCCAUGCUAGAAUCCGGGGCUUGACAUCAGGGACAGAAUGGAGACCGAAAUUAAGUUGGUCAAGGUAACAAACCUAUAAACAACCACGCAAGAAAGAGAUUAAAGGAAAUAACAUAAAAAAACUUAAAAUAAAAGUAAAGAACAAGAACAAGACUUACAGCAAAAGCAUAGUGACAACCACCAGACGUCAUUGAUCUUUUAGAAGCAACUUUAGUGGAAUUCUUGAACUUUUUGAUGCUGCUCAACAACCACUCAUAAACAUAUCCGGACAGAUCAUAGUUGCACACAGAAGAACAAUCCCUGAAAAUAUGCAGGUACUUUGGGCUAGGACUGAGGCUAGAGUUGGGACAAAGGAAUGAGGACAACGCAACAAUCAUGAAGCAAAUGAAAAUGUCUUCAUCAGACAACUCGACUUCGGUGGAUUUAAGCUUGCUGGCGAAGAAAGAGACAGGAGGAAUACUAGAAACAUUGAACUGAGACAAGAUAAAAUCACGUCCAGACUCAGGAUCAGACACAAGUGGCUCACCAUCCACUGGGAGGUCAAGGAUAUCAUGGAUAUCAUACUUGGUCAUUGGGAUAAAUUUCCUUUCGAACUGGAAUUCAGAUGAAGGGGCAUCAAACCUACUAGCAAGCCACUUGACUAGCCUAAGGGGAACCUCGGUCCUAACAAAGUUUAAGAGACAGCCCAUGCCGUAUGUCUGGAUGACAUUCUGAUACCUAGGACACAUUCCAGCAACAACACCAGAGAAGAACUUCCCAGAAUAUGUAGUGAAAGUGGCACAAGUGGGGAAAUCAGUAGAUCGUUUCUGCCUCUACAAAACAACAAAAGGAGAGACACAAAUGAAAAACAUAGGAUAGAACCGAAACCAAUAAAACUAAGAAAAUACACAAGGAAGAAAACAUUAAUACAUACAGAUUACAACAGUACUUAAAUAAAAGUACACAACUAACGCAUAAACAACACAACUACGGUUGAAAACUCUGAAAACCAAACUUCUGUGGUUACCUUUGUAUUACAGAAGAACAACAAAACUACGGAGGACAGAAAACAUUACAUGCUACCAAGGUAAAUUACAUAUAAAAUAUACUACAUGAAGCUAUCAUCUGGAAAAGCAAAAACUAACAUUAUAUGAGAGCACGAAAAUACAGGACAUUUAUACAGAUAUGGGGAACUAACCACAUUCCUCCUAGAAGCAGAUGAUAGUUUCCUCUUUAAGCAUUUUACUUUCUGAAAUGACAAAAAACACAAAUGUCACCAAAAAGAAAAAAGCCAAAUUAACAAAAGAAAGAAAGAACUAAAAAGAAAAGAAAGAACAUACUUGAUUGAGAUAGAACUUCAAAAGAGCCUUGUUGAACUCUCCUUCAUCUCGAGAUAGAUCCUGCAAACAAAGAAGAAAUAAAACAGACCAAAAAAAUAAUUAAAUCAAAGCUAAAAGAUAAAGAAAUUAAACAACAAAGAAAAGAAACAUAAAUAAGUAACUACGGGAGACACAGGAUGAGAACCAUCUUCUGCAAAAUCAUUAGGCACAAAAGCUUCAUCCAGUGAAUCUGCACUCUCUAAAGAUGAUACUAAUGGAACAUCCUGAUGAGACACUUUCCGUAGCCUACCCAUUUAAACCUGUAAAUGGAACAUAAAAUUACACUGAGACUACAAUCCAAUUACACUGAAAAAUCCACUCAAAUUACACUGGAAUUAAAAUGGGUACACUGCACUGUAAAGUUAAAAUAAAUUAUACUGAAACUACAAUCAAAUUACACUAAAAAAUCCACUGGAAUUAAAUGGGUACACUGCACUGUAAAGUUAGAAUAAAUUACGCUGAAACUACAAUCAAAUUACACUGAAAAAUCGACUUAAAUUACACUGGAAUUAAAAUGGGUACACUGCACUGUAAAGUUAAAUAAAUUACAUUGAAACUACAAAUCAAAUUACACUGUAAAAUCCACUAAAAUNNNNNNNNNNNNNNNNNNNNNNNNNNNNNNNNNNNNNNNNNNNNNNNNNNNNNNNNNNNNNNNNNNNNNNNNNNNNNNNNNNNNNNNNNNNNNNNNNNNNNNNNNNNNNNNNNNNNNNNNNNNNNNNNNNNNNNNNNNNNNNNNNNNNNNNNNNNNNNNNNNNNNNNNNNNNNNNNNNNNNNNNNNNNNNNNNNNNNNNNNNNNNNNNNNNNNNNNNNNNNNNNNNNNNNNNNNNNNNNNNNNNNNNNNNNNNNNNNNNNNNNNNNNNNNNNNNNNNNNNNNNNNNNNNGAAUUAAAUGGGUACACUGCACUGUAAAGUUAGAAUAAGUUACACUGAAACUACAAUCAAAUUACACUGCAAAAUCCACUAAAAUUACAGUGGAAUUAAAAUGGGUACACUGCACUGUAAAGUUAAAAUAAAUUACACUGAAACUACAAAUCAAAUUACACUGUAAAAUCAACUAAAAUUACACUGGAAUUAAAUGGGUACACUGCACUGUAAAGUUAGAAUAAGUUACACUGAAACUACAAACAAAUUACACUGGAAAAUCCAUUAAAAUUACACUGGAAUUAAAUGGGUACAAUGCACUGUAAAGUUAGGAUGAACUACACUGUAAAAUCCACCAAAAUUACACUGGAAUUAAAUAAGUAAAUUACACUUAAAAGUACGAAAUGCUGGGAUGAACUACACUGUGAGAAAAUCCACUCAAAUUACACAUAAAAUCUGGGACAGGUUAUGCUGCAAGACUGAGACAAAUUACAUUACAAUGCAACAAAUGAGAUAAAAUCACAGUGGAAUUAAAACGGCUAAAAUACACUUAAAGUCUGUAAAUCUGAGAUGAAUUACACAGUAAAACUGACAUAAAGUUACAAUGAAAAUCUGGGAAAAUUACACAUAAAACUACACUGCAAUUACAAUAAAAAAUCACCCUAGAAAUUCAGGGUUAAUUACACUAUACAAACUGGGAGAAAUUACCCCUGUAAGACUACAAAACUGAUAUUACACUGGAAGUCUGUGACGACACUGAAAAGGUCUAAUCAAACAAUUGACAACACUGAAAAGGGCCGAGCCAAAAGUACACAGAAAUUAAACUUAAAAUUCAUUCCUGCUAGAAGAAAAACAAACACGGUACAAAGGAGAACUACACCUCCAACAACAAAUCAGGAGCCUAAUUCAUGUGAAUACAAAAAAAGAGCUUGACACGAGCACCUAGCAUCUACCAGUACAUGAGCAGGGGCAAGAGCAGGAAAACACGCAGAAGCAUCAGGGAGCAUCCCGACACGAGCAGGAACGAGGUAGACAUCUACCAGUACAUCUACAACAUCCCGCAUGCUACAACUACAGACAUCCGCCAAGCUACAUCUACAGAAUCCCCAUCAGCUACAGGAACAUGAGCAGCUACAAGUACAUGAGCACCUACAGAUCGCCCUCUCACCUACAGGAACAUGAGCACCUACAGGAACAUCUACAGAAUCCCUCGCGCCUACAGGAACACGAGCACCUACAGGAACAUCCACAGAUCGCCCUCUCAUCUACAUGAACAGCUACAUCUCCACAGACAAAAGGGGGACAAAGCCGCUGCAUCUACAAACUACAACAGUACAAACAGCAGCGCGCGCGGGACGACCACAACAACCAGAAGCCUAGCAAUCUAGCGGCUGCACCACAUGCGCGAGAGGGCGACAUGAACUGACCUAGAUCUGGGAUGAACAAGAGCAGAACAACACAAGCGCGCGACGGGGAGAGAGAGAGAGAGGAACAACCAACCGCGACACCGGGGAGCGAAGGGGAAGGGGAGAGAAAUUAAGCUCGAGUGGGGGAAGGUCUCGAAAUCGCCAUGGACGGGGAGAAUCGCCUCCUGCUCCGCCGCUCGAGCUCCCCCUCAGCCUUAUCCAAACAGAGAGGACGAAAUGAAAAGGGAGGAAAGGCACGCUACCCCAAAUUCAAACGAGACAAAAAUCAGAGCCGGCCGGGCGCGGCGAUAACGGGCACAGAGAAAACCGCACAACACAAAAAAACCGGACCCGGCAACAAGACCAG
rnacentral:lncRNA from 1 species